rnacentral:lncRNA from 1 species
GCAACGUUGAUCAUUGACCAAUGUUCUCGAUUCAACCGAUCAGUUUUUGGCCGGAGGAUGGUAGAUGGGAGUUGGUGAUGCGUACGUUGGCGCUGGGGGGUGGUACUCAGGCUCAGGCUUUGGUUUGGGCUCAGGCUUAGGCUUCGGUGGCACAGGUUUCUUGUGGAAGUGGUCAAAGAACUUGUGAUAGUCAUGGUCCUUGUGGAAGUGAUCAAGGAAGUGCUUCUUGUCAAACGAUAUUUCUUUCACAACCGGAGGGUGGUAGAUCGGAGUCGGAGACCCGUAUGUGGGUGUCGGGGGGUGGUACUCAGGCUUAGGCUGCGGCUUUGGCUUUGGUGGCACGGGCUUCUUGUGGAAGUGGUCAAAGAUGUGGUGGUAGUCAUGGUGUUUGUGGAAGUCAUCGUGCAAGGGAUUCUUGUCGAACAAGUGCCUGGCAGGAGGGUGGUAGAUUGGUGUAGGUGACCCAUAUGUUGGCGUUGGUGGGUGGUACUCAGGCUCAGGUUGAGGUUUGGGCUCUGGCUUGGGCUUGGGUGGCACAGGCUUCUUGUGGAAGUGGUAAAAAAAGUGGUGGUAGUCAUGGCCUUUAUGAAAGUGAUCAGGCUCAGGCUGCGGCUUAGGCUGCGGCUUGGGCUCCGGCUUUGGCUUUGGUGGCACGGGCUUCUUGUGGAAGUGGUCGAAGAAGUGGUGGUAGUCGUGGUCCUUAUGAAAAUGGUCGAGCAAGGGCUUCUUGUCAAACAAAUGUCUAGCUGGAGGGUGGUAGAUCGGUGUGGGUGACCCGUAUGUUGGAGUCGGAGGGUGGUAUUCUGGCUGUGGCUUGGGCUCUGGCUUCGGCUUUGGUGGAACUGGCUUCUUGUGGAAGUGGUCAAAGAAGUGGUGUGGCUUAGGUUCUGGUUCUGGUUUGGGUUCUGGCUUCGGCUUCAGCGGAGAUGGCUUCUUGUGGAAGUGGUCCAAGAAGUGGUGAUAGUCGUGGUCCUUGUGGAAGUGAUCAACCAUGUGCUUCUUGUCGAACAACUGCCUUGCUGGAGGAUGGUAGAUUGGAGUUGGGGAUCGAUAUGUUGGCGUAGGGGAGUGGUACUUCGGCUGCGGCUUAGGUUCUGGCUUUGGCUUUGGCUCUGGCUUCGGCUUCGGUGGCACAGGCUUCUUGUGGAAAUGGUCCAACAGGUGCUUCUUGAUCGGCCCGCAUAGGGUUGCCGACGCGCAUUCUGCCGACGGGUAGUCUGUCUUGCCAGGGACCACGACGAAGUUGCCAUCGGACGACUGCGGCACAAUCCUGGAAGGUUCCUGACCGGGGCACGGGGUGCCCGCGGCGCUGUGGAGCUGCGCAACGCAGUCAGCGGCGUGCAUGUCCGUGCUCAGCGGGAUGCUGAAGGCGCCGGAGACAUCUAGCUUGCCUAUGGCCUUGCUCUCGUACUCGCCUUUGCUGUUCCUGCACUUGAUCGCCACCUCAAGACCUGAAAUGCAUGGAUCGAAAAGCACCGUCAGUACCAGCAGCUAGCUUCUUCUGACCUUACUGAUCAGCUUAAAGCAUUGAGUAUCCACUGUUUAUGUUAUUAGCUUAAUUAAAUAUGCAUGUAUAUUAUUCCUAGUAUAUUUACCCUUGAAUGCCGCUUCGGCCUUCAUGUUCUUCCUGGUGCAAUCGGCGCAUUUGGCGAGGCCGAUAACCACCGAGGACGCCUCACUGGAGGCAGCGCUUGCGACGGCUAUUACCAUCAGCACGGCGAAAAUGCCGGGGAGAAGGCCCCCAUGUACCGCAGCCAUGGCUAGAUGGAUGACUCGAUGAGAUGAAGAAGAGGCAAUGCAAUGCCUGCCUUAUAUAGGCCUACGCAUUGAUCAAACACAGCUCGAUCUUACAUGCAUGCACGCAUGAUCACGAGCUGGUGAGGACUGAGGCGCCAGCACACAUAAUUUUGGCGCCGAAAUUGCAGACCGGCCGGGAAUUAAUGCCGUCCAUUUGAGUUGAUCAAUCUCUGUCUGUCCAUUCAUCAUGUCCAGUCGGUUGGUAGUAGUUGGAGUUGUGUAAGUUACGUCAGUUGCGGCACUUUGGAUUUGCAUGCAUGCAGCGCCAGUACAUGCCCUGUGUAAUGCAGGUUUCCAUUGGUCACAUCGGAAAAGCAAAGCUUGUAAAAGCGCGUGUCCGGUGUGCUCAUCUGCUGGACAAUAAAUUUCAGAACAGUAUAGUAUAGUUUGGUUUGUUUCAGAAAAGGGACAGUACUUUCGGAAUGUGGAUACAAAAUAAGUUCUUUCUGACCGCGUGUAGUUGGAUACAACAUAUAGUAGCACAAAAAAGCUCUAUGAUGACGGUAGUGUCUAAUUUAUAGACGCGGCGAGCCCAAUUCAAGAACCGCCACUGUAAACCCAUUUACACUGACAGUUCACUUAAGGAAACUGUCAGUGUCAAUAGUGCAUUUCCACUAGCGGUUUCCUUAAGUGCUGUGCAAAUAGAUUUACACCAGUGGUACCUUAUGUCAGCCGCCAGUGAAGUUUUUGGUAUAAAUACUCAUUCUUCCUCCACGAGUAGAACUGUUUCUCACAACCACCUUCUAUUAGAGGCCAUUUUGGAGGUCUAGAUUUUUAGGAGGUUGCUAAGAAAUGUUAGUUUAUAUCUCUCUUGCCUCUUUUUGUUCAUUCUUGCUCAAUUUGAACCACUUUAUGGAUCUAGGAUUUCACCAUAUGUUAGAGAGAAGAAUAGCUAGGUUAUUAUCUUUAUUUGCUCAAAUGAUCUUAAGAUUGUUAGAUGAUGUCUCUCCUCUAUCCCUUUUUAUUUUUGCUUCUCACUUUAGUUUAUCCAAGAUAUAUUUAGUUAUUUUCAUGAAUUGUGUGUUCUUGUCUAUUUAUGUAGAUAGAGAAAUAUAGGUUCUUUUGUUAGUUUUAUAAAUUGUGUAGUUUUUUGUCUUCAUUUCUCAAUUUGAUUUAAUUAUCCACUAUGUAUUUAUGUUUCAUGAAUGGUGUGUUUGUAUGUAGAGGGGAAGAUAGGUUUCUUAAUUAAUUAAGAUUAUUGUGUUUAUUAAUUAGAAAAUAUGAAAGAGGUUUCUUUGUUUACCACUAUGUUGUUGACUGAGGUUACUUAGUACGGUUAAUUUUAUUCUUCUAACUUUUAGCGAACCUUGCUUCAAGGUCUAUAAAUUGGAAAAUAUACAAGUGGGAGGUUUUCAUCUUCAUUUCUUCGAAAGAGGUUGGUGAUCAAAAGAUUAGAUAAUAAAUAUCUCUAGACAAUCAUACUUGUUUUGCAUUGAUUAUAAUUAAUUCAUUAUAUUUUUUAUAUGUAAUGAUGGAGAGGUCAUUUUGGAUGUAUAAUUUAUCAAGACUAAAUCCAUCAUAUAUACCCGAGGUCCCUAGGUUUUUUGAUGCUGACUAAGAACCAUGCUUGGAGAACAAAGAUGAAGCACAUCUAUUGUCCAUGCAUAGACUGUACAAAUGUUAUUGUAUUUGAUGACACUAAAUCAAUCAUUUAUUAUUUGGUCUAACAAGAAUUUAUGAUGGAUUACUUGUUUUGGACAAAGGGUAGCUUGCGCCUUAUACAAAUAGAAACCUUACGAACAUCGACGUUGAUGCUGAUGGAUUUCCGUUCCUACAUGAGAUACAACAACCUCUUUCCUAGAGUGAACAUGUUGUGCCAAAUGUUACGGUUAUGGAAGAUGUAGAAUUCUUAGGGUAAAGUUGCAUCAUCAUAUGGAUCCAUGAAUAUUAUUAAUGAAAGGUAUGGAAGCCCUGAUAAAGGCUGCAGAAGAGACUUUGCACGACGAGUCUAAGGGUUAUACCAAAGAGUUCAUGACACUGCGGUCUAUGCUAAAGUUGUCGAUGUUAAAAGCUAGAUAUGGUAUGUCUGAUGCUGGCUUGGAUGCAUUCUUGUGUAUUAUUGCAGACAUGCUUCCAAAGGGAAACAAUGUGUGUGCUAAGACGUACUAUGUAAAGAAACUAAUCAGUCCGCUCACUAUGGGUAUGGAGAAGAUCCACGCGUGUCAUGAUGACGAUGAUUAUAAGGACUUAGAGAGUUGUCCAAAGUGUGGUGCAACUACGUACAAGACAAAUAAAGACUAUCGAGAGAAAGAGUGUGUUGCCUCCAUUUCUAAAGGAAAGAAGCGAAAGGAGACCAAAUAGAACAAACAAUAAAGUUCAAAAUCUAGAAAAAUAUUCCUACUUUGAUGAUGUGGUGUAACACCCUAGUGUUAAGUAUGCAUUAAGGCUUCAUCAAACUUAUAUGAGCAUUGGCACAAGCAUGAGCAUCUCAUGUGUUGUGCUAUAUUUUAUGCAUAUCUUUUAAAUGUGAAUUAAUUUUGAUAAUUGUCAUGCUAUGUCUAAAAAUGCUUGUUAUGCCUAGAUUAAAUUGUUUUAUGCCUAAACUUAAAUUAGAAAAUUUAAGUACCAUUUUUGGAGCCCUAGAAUUAAAGGAGUUGAUUUAAAUUAAAAUUUCGCAAAAUAGAUUUAUUUCAAACCUAGAACUAACUUUAAAUUGAAAUUCAAAAUCCAUUUGGAUUCUUGAUUUGCACCAUAAAGCAAAGUUAUAGAGAAUUUUAUUUUGAGCAACUUUUAUUUUUGGGUCAACUCCUGAAAAUGCAUUUAAAACAGUGUUUAAAAAUUAAUUGAGAAAAUAAAUUCAAAAAAAAGAGAAGGGAGGAGCGCCCUACUGGGCCACGCACCUUGCUUCUGGCCCAGCAGCCAAAGCCGGCCUGGCUCGUGAGCACAUCCCCUUCCUCCUCAGGCGCGCACUGUGGCCAGGUGACGUCGUGGCCGACCGUGCGUAGGCCAGCCGCGCCACGUGGAUGGCAAGCAACGGCAGCGGCUACGACAGUGCCUGCUUGCCCGAGCAGAAGGGGACGACAGCGGCUCUGCGUUGUCCACCUUCUCCACUCCACCCCGACCACACCUCUCUUGCUCUCGUCUCACAAAGCAGAGCUUGACAGCACCAUCGUCCGCCAUAGCCGCUACCGAGCUCCAGCGUCGACGUUCCAUCUUGUUGGUCGCUCCCGCCCUCGAUUCCUCCUGUCCACCGCUCCGUCUUCAUUCUCCUCAUCUCUGAAUGAGUCGGAUUGCCUCCCUUGGCUCAAGGUGAGGGAUAGCCGGCUGUCUUCUUCUUCUCUAGUGUGAACGUCGCAGCGGUUCAUGUGGUCAGCAAGGCCGCCGAGCCUCUUCCUCCUUCCUUUUGCGCGCAUCACAUUCGCCUUGACCUCGCCAAGCUCGUGCGUGCUCUGGUUCAUGCUCUACGCCGGAGUUCGUGAGUCCACCAUCCAGCAGAGCCAUCGUGCCGCCAUGGCCGGCGACGAGCUUGCUUCGGGGUGUCUCCAGACAAACCACCGCGCGCAUCCUGUUCGCCUAGGCUCGGGGAACACACAUGAGUGCUCGGUGUUGCCGUAGGGUUCACCGACAGCGAGAUCAGGCUCGCCGGAGUUCUCCCCCUCUCUGUGUGGCUAACAGGUGGGGUCGAGGACCCACUUGUCUAUACCUGUGUGCGGAUGCGGGUGCACUGCACCGGGUACACCUAGUAGAACUCGCCGAGACUUGAUUCUCAAUUUAAAGAAAUGUUUUUCAGAUAAUGGUUUAAAGCUUGUAAAAAUCAUAGCUUGAUUUCUAUUGCUCCAAAAAGUUUAAACAAAUUUUGUUAUGCUCUAUAUUAGUAGAUCUAAAGUUCGGUGUACUUGGUGUGAGACUUUUCUGUGAAGGUUUAUUUAAAUCUUGAAAAUAUUGAUUUCUUAUAAAAUAUGCAAAAAAUAAAAUAUAGCUCUGAAAAAUGUACUUCCUAUCUUGGUACAUUUGCACUACAAUCUAGCCUCUGUGAAAAAUGAGGAACCUAAUAUUACUCUACAAAAAUAAUUAUUAGUGAAUUAAUGCUUGCAUGAUGAUGGUUUAAGAUUUUUAAUAAAUAAUAUAUAAAUGCAAUUAAUCUAAGAAUUUUUGUAGGGCUCUCCUAUGUUACAAAGUAUUAAGGAAAAAUAUUAAAUUUGUUGUCUGACACUUUUGUAUGUAUAGAGUAUUUUCCAUUGUUUAUGUUUAGCAUACUUGUGAUUUUUGUGUGGGCCAUUUUACUUACCCAAAUUUUGUGAAAGUUUUAUGGUAGACUAUAUGUGUGAUCUAUAAGCUACUGUAAUUUUUAUGGAACUUAUUGAAUACCAGAGGUAUAUGUUGUUGUUAUUGGCCUAGUAAUAAAUAAAUAAAUAAAGAAUUAUUUUAUGUGAACUUGAAAGUAAUUAAACAGUUUGGUGUAUCUUUGAAGCAUUCUAAUGUGUGCUGCUUUAUCUUGGUAGGUGUAGAAAAAGAAUAGAAUAGAAUAACUUGUACUUAAGUUACAUGUUCUUGGAUGACAUUGACUACCUAGUACAAAUAGAUCACAUUGUCUUUUUGUCAUGACUCCCCUCUACCGGAGAGGAGAUAUGCACAUACUCAGUAAAUAACACAUCAUGACCACCCUUGUGAUCAUCUGCAUAAUCAUGCACCAUAUGUUCACCAUCCACUUACUUGAGCAUAUGCAUCAUACAGGCUCGUAGAAGAACGACGUGGUGACCGAACCUGAGGAGCCGGAGGUGACCGAGGUGCAGGAGAUCACUGAGGUGGAAGAGCAAGAAGAGGAGCUGCAAGAGUGUCUAGAUCACAGUCCUAGUUCUUUCGAGAAAGGCAAGCCUUGCUCCCCAAAUUUUCUGCUAAUUAUAUAUAUAUCAUGAUGGUUAUAUUGUUAUAUUAAGUUAUAGGAGUUGCUUGAUACCAUUGAUGUAUUGAAUAUCCCUUGGAAUAUCACCUUUCUACAUACCUUAUCCUAUGUAGUAUGGGCUCAGAGUCAAUGCUUAGCUCUGCUUAGCACAGUAGAAGUCGGAUGAUUCCCUGUCACCUGCGAGCUGUAGGUGGUCACCAAAGGUUUGGCAGUAUGUUUGCUAUCAUAAGUAAUAACCAAAUGUUGGGAAGCAAAGCUAAGACCGGACGAAACCUUUUGGGGGUGUUGGACCAUAGUGAUUCUGUCCUUGUCGAUUAAGGACCGAUCAUUGGUGGUCCUCUUGUCAUGUUGAACGCAUACCCUACACUUAACUUGAAGGAUAAGUUGUUCUGACUGUGAAGGUGGGACGCUAUUUGGGCCAGGAAUUGACCUGAUGUACGCACUGUAUUGGAGAUAGUUGAGGAGACUGAUGAGGGCGCGACGUGCAACCUUGGUAUGCCUUGGAUACCUUUGUCAUCGGAACGGUCCUUGGGUAUGGUGGUGCCUGCUGAACCGUGAAUUGGUCCUGAAUAGUGCAUCCGGUGACCUGUAGCUUACUUGAUCAGUGAGUGUGGCUUAUGUAGGGAAUAAAAUCACUAGCUGGUUAGGAAUUGUUUCGAAUCAUCAUCGCUCCUGGAUAGUAAGCACUUGACUUGAGCUUUGUCAUCGUAUUAAUGUUUAUGGAACACUGGAUGGUUAUGAGAUAUUGAUGAAGCUGGAAAAGCUGCACUAAAUUGGUAUUAUUGUACUGAAUCAAGUGAUUGCUAUAGUACAGGUGUUAAUCUAGAUGAUAGGUUAAUGAUACUUAACUUGAGCUAAUUAUCUAAAAAGGUUAUUUACUUAGUAACUUAAGAUUUUAUGGAAAGUUUGUGUCGAGCUACCCCUUUAUACAGCCUUACAUGAUCUUUGGUGUCAUUUAUUUCUGUUUUGUGAUAGGUAAGUCUAGCUGAGUAUAUUCUCAUAAUCAGGGCUCUGUUUCCAUGUUGUUUUGCAGAUGGGCAGAUGUACUAUGGGUACUGUAUUAACUGUCUUUACCUAGCUAUGGGUGAUGCUUAGACCAAUGGUGUGGUCACUUUGUCUUAUCUUUUGAUUUUGUGGGAAUCAUCAGACUCUAGCACUGUAAUCAAACUAAGUUUGUGUGUUUUCUAAAACUAUUCACUUCCGCUACUACUUUCAAGACUUGGUUUGUAAUAACUAAAUUCAAACUCCAAUGUACUGAAAUGUUUGUCAAUGAUAUGUAUUGUAUGAAUGGCGACCACUGAACUUAUUACGAUCUCUGUUAUGUUUGAGGAAAUUUUGAGAUCCUUCGAGAUUUCAUGGACUACCGGGAUUAUAUGGGCUUAAGUCUUUUAUAAUUUGGACAGUUCUGUUACAGCUAGUGUUGGAGCCAGUUUUAGCGGAUUACAGUUCAUAAGUAUAUUUAAAACAAAUUAAAUUUGUUUACAAAAACUGAUUAUCCAUCACGAAUUAUCAAGGUGUUAAAGUGAAUUUUGGAAAAUUAUAAGUGUGCUAGUGGUCAUAUCCUUUAUGUCUAGUUAAAGACUCUAAGGUGGCUAUUUAAGUACUGACUUGUUGGUUUAUGCAUCAUAUUUCUCUUUCAUUGCUCAUAUGGCAUUGUUGACAUUUACUACCGCCAUUACUAAAAAUAUAGAUAAACCCUACCUCUAGCAACAACGGCAAAAAUGCUCGGUAUAUAAUUAACUUAUCAUUAAGCAACUAGCCACUUCUUAAUGACUAACAUUCCUAAACAUGAAGUAGGUUGUCAUCCCUAAUUAUAUUGCUAGGAAUUUAUUAUAUAUUCACAUGUACUAUUGUGACUAGGCAGAAAUAAAAGAUAUGAAUAUGAUUAUAAACUAAAUGGGUUCUAGAAGUGGACAGAUAAUUAUACCAUUGUAGGAUUUUACCUAGGGAAGUAUCCAGGUUGUCGAUUUAUAUUUAUACCACUGGGAAGGCUAUGUGUUAAACAAUAAUCUAUUAUAUUGAUAAGAAACUAUAUAGGAUGAAUAAAUGAUAUUACCAAGGUUGUCUAAUCUACUCAUAACAGGUAGAGGUCACAAGAUAAAUAUGGGUAAAUAAUAAUGAUAGCAUAAUCAUCAAGUAUCAUAUUUAUGAAUAAUCAUUAGAGCAUCUACUAGUCAUGAUCAUAGUUAGCCAUUAGAUAAACUAGGGAGUUGGAUCUAAGGUAAUUCUAUAACUACAUCACUGAAUAACUCUAAUUAGUGCAAUUACAUCUAGAAAUCAUUGUUGAGCUAACCCUAUAUCAUAGUCACAUGUAAAGAGGCAUCAACUAAUGAGGGUAUUAAGACACAAGGGUCACCUCCUUCGCGACCGUGCCCAUGCUAGUCCUACGUACGAAGGGUGGACUACAGAGGAUACGCAACUGUCACCUAUGCGGUCUACCACACGACCCGACACGUCAGAGUGCACUCGCAGAUAAACAAUAUAUCUAGACACCACGUCUACAUAUUAUCUAUCAUCAACCCAAAGAUCUAUUAGGUCAACGCUAUAUGAGCAAUUACAUGAAUUCAAUAAGAUCAAACCAACUAUCCUAGACAUAUAAUCAAAGUAGACAAUGGCUAUUGCAAUUAAGAAUAUAUGAAUCUAUUAAGAACAAAGUCUCCCUAAUAUACAAUUGAAUACUAUAAAGUAAGAACAAGAUCUAUUACCGAACUCUUGCGCUCCAGACCGAAGCUAGGGGCUCCAGAUCCCGAUGAAGAACUAGAUCUCCUCUACUUCCAAUCUAACUAACUAGAACUACGAACUAGAAGGCUCUUGAUGAACUUGAAGGCGCUUGAUGCUUGAUGGCUCGAGGCCUUGAUGAAUAAUGGAUUGGUUUAUUUCUCCAGGGGGGUCUACCCCUGUAUUUAUAGUCCGGAGGGAUGCGCGUGCGUCGUAGGAUCAAACCGACUUAACCAAGGGCCGAGAUGACUCCUCGUAGGUGGUGGAGGAAGCUUCUAGAAGAGGAAGGUCAAAACCCUAGAUGGGGCACCAGCCGGUGCUAGGGUGGGGCCAGCUGGCCCCACCUGGCAGCCGCCUGGCCCCCUGUUGCUUUGGGUGUCUUCUCGAUCCUUCCUGAGUCCUCCCGUGAUAUUUCCCGUGGUGGAUAAGUUUCGUGUUUAUUUUGUACUAGAAUCCCUCUUUUCAGCUUUCCUAGAAUUCACCCUGAAAAAUACAGGAUAUACAAAACUCGUGGAAAUUGUCAGUUUAAACCCUAGACUAGUGUGUUUUCAUGUUCUCCUUCGGGUUUAAAGCUCUAUAAAAGUUGACGUUAUCGAUCAUCAAUCUCACACCCAUAUUUUAAGAACAAAAUAGGAUGCAUAAAAGACUCAUAUGUGCCCCAGAAACAGUCGCACACAUAAGUAGACAAAUCUCAAAUGUACCAUUGCAGUGUUUAUUACAUAGGGGAACAAUAAUAAAUCACAUAGUCUUAUACAAGAAUGAUAAUAAGAUUAAACAACGCUCUCGACGGAAGCACCACACAGGGACACUGUUGACUAGUUGACUCCAAGCCUAAUACUCAUAACGGUAGUCCUCAUUCCAAUCAUCAUCAUUAGCAUAACCUGGGGUGUUGGGAAAUUGCAAGAGUGAGCACAUAUAGUACUCAACAAGUAUAACCAGGGGUUCAUGAGGCUCAAAUAGCUGACACUGGUUUUACUGAAUUUAGCUUUUAUAUGUAGAUAGCAUGUUUAUAUUUAGAUAGCCAAUAUCAAGGUAGCAUAGUAAAUCCCAUAACCACAUGAUCAAUGUAUACAAGAAUAAAGAAUAACACAUAUAAAUAACAUAAUAAACCAUCAUUUAUUAUCAUUAAUCAUAUUCAUCAGUGUCCAUCUAUUCCGUCAGUUUUUUGGGCCGCCCGUAUCCGUGGGCACGGCUAGUAUACCAGAUUUAACACUCUGCAGAGGUUGUACAUCUUUACCCAUGAGUCAUGAUUUACCCUUUCGCCCAAGGUAGCUAAUAUCUUAACCUCCUUCCUAGGGAGGUCGGUAGGGAUCACUAUGAAGCCUUUCAAAAGUUCGUCUAACAUGUUAGGGCCGCAAAGUUUCCUUCGUGCGCAGAUAUAGAUACCCCCCUUCCAAAUGGCAUAAUGACGCGCAGCCUAUACACAUAAGGAUAGGGGCUCGCACUAUACCCAAAACGGUUCAGCCCCUCUAGCGUCCUUUCGGGUAACCUCUAACAAGCUAGAAAAGGUCUUCAUACUGAGCUAAAGCCAGAGCCAUAUAACCCUCAUAGUUGUACGAGUUAUCCCAGCUUUUGCCAAGGGAUAAGUCCUUAUGAAGGGUCAAGAUCAAUCCAGCAAAAGCCAGAGUUCUUUCCACCCUUUAUAUUCAAGUUGCUAGAAAGCUUAUUUUAUUGUUUAUUGUAUAUUCAAAUAUUUAUGUUACAAGAUCAUGGAUUAAUAAUCAAGCACUAGCAAGAACUACCCACAUGCAUAUCCAAAUAGGUAACAAGGAAUUCAGGAUAACAAUCAUCUAUGAUUUUGCUAAAGUCAUCAAGGUGGACACAUGCAUAUGAUAUAUGUAUUAAAAGUGUGUAGGUAACAAGGAUGAUCCUAAGUUAUACUUGCCUUGAUCAAAGCUCUCCUGAGCCUGCUGCUGGUCUUCAAAAGAUGGACCUUGAUCACCAACGUAUCAUUCUCUGUCUAUACUCAAUCAUCAAUCAACAACACGCAAUCCAAUGUAGACAUUCAUACACGAAGCAAACAAGCUAUUAUUAGAACAAUACACCAAACAAUGGUAAAACAAAUAUAAAAGUUUAUCAAAAUAUUCUACGCAGCGCUACGAUCACAUAAAUGUAAAGUUCACGAAAAUCAGAAUUAAAACGUAGAAGAUAUGAAUUUUCCAAGAUUUCCUAUUGAUAAAUAAUUAGUUAAAUACUACUGCAAAAUUAAAAAGUUUCAAAACAGAGAACUAAUACUCCUAACAUGUAGAGCUCGUAAUUACGAACCUAACGCACUUUGAAUGGACAAAAAUGGAGUUAAAACGAAUAUUUUAUGAGCAAAACAAAAUCAAUGGCAAUUCUGUAAAUACUGGAAAGCGUAAUUUGAUUCAAACCGACGAAAAUACGCUUUUAGAAAAUGAAAACGUAAACCAGAAAAUACGUAAAGGACGGCGGGUUGAUUCCUCGGACCCUAGGGGUCUCUUUAGCAAAAUAACCCCUGAAGGGGUAUCUUCUGUUCUGGUGCGUCGGAUUUCGAUCGGACGGUUGAAAUUGCGCAGGGGUGAGAUCCGGCCGACUGCCUCGCCGGAACAGGAGCCCGACGCGGCGGCGCCAUGGCCGGAGGAGCCGAGCUCGGCGGCGCUCAUGGUUUCGACGACUCAGAGCCUCCGCGGAAGAAAGAAAUGCACCGGGCGGAAGAGGAGCUUACCCCGAGCUCGCCUAAGCACCUUUCUAAGGCCGAGGACGCGCGUAUGGAGCUCGCGGCGGCGGCGAGAAGAACUUUGCUCGGUGAGAUCCCAAAACGCAAGAAAACGGUGGCUAGGGCACAGUUUGGCAAUUUAGAUGCAAAGAGGAGUUUGCGGCGGUGUUAGGGAGUCUUAUAGGACGCGAUUGAGCAAGAAAGCCCGGGUUCUUCGGGAUUUGGAAGGUGCGGCUUGAGUCCGGGUCAGUGACGGCAUGAGGAAGAUGGGAAAGGGGAGGAAGAGGCGCUGACUGUUGACGGUUCUUAAGUAUCAAUUUUAAUUAUCAAAUAAACAAGAGAAAGGACCAAUAUGCAACCAACACCUAGAAUUAGGGUUUGAUCUGACAGAAUUCCACGAGUUUUGUUGUUUAUCUGUUUCUGCAGGGGGUUAUUAGGAAAUUAGGAAGAAAGGCCCACAUGUCGGGAUUACAUAGAGAUAUCAACGCACCGCACAAUUUUCUACCAUCUAGAAGACUCCAGAAGCCACGAGAAGAAAGCAGAGGCCGAAAGGGGCCAGGCCCAGGGCGCCCGCCCUGAGGACCUGGGCGCCCGUCCCCCUCUGGAUGUCAAUCAGGACUCUUUUCACACACGACGUUCCACCGACCUAAAGGAUCAAGGAUAACGUAGUACCACAUCGCCUACUGGACCAAAAAUGCACAGAGGAGGAGGACUAUAUAAGCAGACCCCUUGGCCUCUGGAGGGACGGAAGUUUAUCAUAGAGUUGAGGGGUGCCCUCGAAGGAAAACCUCUUCUCUAAAUAAAAUUUCUUUUUAGGCUUAGCAACCAAUGUAAGUAGAAAUAGAUCUUCUAGUUUCUACUAGAUUGAGAGAGAUAGAGUGGAGGUGUAGAUCGGAGGAAGCCCGGCCUGUCGGUGUCUACUUCGAGCUUGUACCUGCGGGAUCAAGUUCUCCUAACUCGAGGCUUGCUCCUAGGAUUAUUCAGUAUUUCGACUUCUAAAUUAUAGUAAGUUCUUAUUUUAUUGUUCUUUUGGUUUAUGAGUUUACUUUAAUCUCUUCGCGUAGAGUUUAGAGUAAUCAUCUCUAGCGUAGACGUGGUGUUUAAGCUAGGAUACUCAUAGAUAUUCCCUGACUAGCUAGACCGUGGUAGUAGCGAGGAACGUGACAUUUCCGAGUUACCUUUGUAGACCAUAUCUCGUUAGCAGGAAGGAUAGGGUUUAUAGGUGCGGGUUGAACAUCCUUUCUGGUGUCUAGAUUCCGUUAGCGUCCCCAAUAGAAUAGUAGAUCAUCCUUACCAAGGUUAGAAGGAGAUUACGGUUGUAGUAUUCUCUAUUUAUUACUCACAUCGAGAAACAUUCUUUGUUGCCUAAACGGUUAGUAGUAAUAGACCAGGUUAGUCAGAUGCACUCUUUCUCCUAGUGGUAAAAAUAUAAAUACGAUACUCUGGAUAACAUCCCGGGUGAAGUGCUCACCGAUAUCCGUGCGCUUGCGGAUCAAUUCCUUAUUGCGUUCCCAAAUAUCAACAAUCAUUUCUGGCGCCGUUGCCGGGGAGAAAGACGGUUUGCUGAGAUAACCUUGAGUCUUACUACUAGCUUGUAUCUAUACUUUUAUCUUUUCUUAUCUUUUAUAUUCUUUAUCCAUUUUCUUUACUCUUACCUUAUGGAAAACCAAGAUUCUAAAUCAAUCUACCAAUUUGCAACACCUUCGGAAACUGAUCUUUUACCAUGGGAGUCAUCACAGCCUAUCCAAACAUCCCAGUAUAAGUUAAGUUCUAGGUUGAUUGCCAUGAUUCAAAACCUAUCUUUUUCGGGAAAGGAAGACGAAAACCCUUGCCUUCAUAUUAGAGAUUUUGAGCAAACAUGUGAUUGUCUUUGCAUUGAAGGCAUUUCUGAUAAAACUUUACGUUGGAAGCUUUUUCCUUUUUCUUUAAGUAGAGAAGCUAGACAAUGGUACAGUCAGAAGGUAAGUCAACAACGAGGUGAAUGGGGAGUUUUACGAGCCAACUUUUGUCUAGAUUUUUAUUCCCUCGAUCGUAUCGGCGACCUUAGACUCGAAGUCCUAUCUUUUAAACAAAAAGAUAAUGAAACUUUGGGAAAAUCCUGGAAACGUUUUUCUGAUCUUUUAGAAUCUGGUCCAAACCUUAAUCUUGAAGACCCUGUUCUUUUAUUUCACUUUUUUCGAGGUCUUUAGAAAAAUCACAAACAAAUGCUACACACAAUGUCUAGAGGUUCUUUCUUUCGCAUCCCUACUGAUGAAGCUAGAGUGAUCCUAGAUAGAAUCCUAGAAGCUGAGAUGGAUAAUACCCUUCAUGAUGAAACCUACGAAACCGAAGUAGACACUCUGCCAAAUUCUUCAUCUACUUUAGCUAUCCCAGGUUCUGAGCCACAAGAGGAAGAAAUUCCACCACCGGACUUCAUGCUGGAUAUAGAAUCCGAUUUUUUUGCCGAUUUUGGAAACAUUUCAGACUACCAUUCUAUUGACAAACCCCAAAAUGGCCAGUUUAGCAUUUAUUUGCCAAGUGAAUAUCAAUUGAGAGAGCUUAUCUCAGUCAUGAGUAGCGAAUGGUUGGAGGAGUCAGAGCUUUCCUCUGAUGUGAUCCGUUUGGACACACCCUCUAUAACUAUACGCUGUGUUUAUAAUUCUGAUCGAUUUAAUGCUCUUUGUAAUCCUGUUGUGGGGAUCAACAUCAUGUCUGAAUCUUUUGCACUUAAACUAUUUAAAAAUCUUGUCUUAACCCCCACAACAAAGGUCAUAAUGGAAUCUUCGGGACGAUUAGUCCCCAGUCUUGGAAUUAUUAAUGUCCUACCUCUUACGGUAGAAGGCUCCAUGGUUCAUUUGAACUUCUAUAUCUUUGAUACAUGGGACUUCGACCUGUUGAUAGGACAACCUUUUAGAAGACUCCUUUAUGAAGGUCAUACUGGAAAGCUACACAUUUCUUUUGGAAAAACUUUUAAAAUCCCAAUAACAAUUUCACACUCUCUGAAUAAUAAGGCCGAGUCAUAUCUUUUGCCUGAUCCUAUGGAGGAGGUAAAGGCUGCAUCUCUUGAACUUUUAGAAGAAUCAGACUUAGAAGACGAAACUCCUUUCUUCAUAGAAGAAGAAGUCAAACCUUCUGAACCUGAACCCUUAGAUGAGUUUGCAGAAACACCUAGACCCCCCAUAGAGCUUAAAACUUUACCACCCGGUCUUACCUAUGCUUUCCUAAACAAUAAUCCAGAGUUUCCUCUGAUCAUUAGUGAUAAACUUACUCAGGAUCAAACUCUACGAUUAAUGACCAUUCUUAAGAAACAUCACUCAGUUUUUGGCUACUCACUCCAAGAUCUUACAGGAAUCAGUCCUAUGAUUUGUACCCAUCAUAUUCCAACAGAUCCUUCUGUUACACCUUCUCGAGAGCCCCAACGUAGACUUAACAACACUAUGAGAGAGGUAGUUAACAAGGAAGUUAUAAAGUUGCUGCAUGCAAGGAUUAUAUAUCCUGUGCCGCAUAGUGAGUGGGUGAGCCCAGUUCAAGUUGUGCCUAAAAAGGGAGGCAUGACUGUUAUUAUGAAUGAAAAGAACGAGCUAAUUCCGCAACGCACCGUCACAGGAUGGCGGAUGUGCAUAGACUAUAGAAAACUAAACAAAGCCAUGAGAAAGGAUCACUUUCCUUUACCUUUUAUAGAUGAGAUGCUAGAGCGAUUGCGAACCAUUCGUUCUUCUAUUUCUUAGAUGGAUAUUCAGGGUAUCACCAAAUCCCGAUCCAUCCUGAUGAUCAAAGCAAAACCACUUUUACAUGCCCAUAUGGAACUUAUGCUUACCGAAGAAUGUCUUUUGGGUUAUGUAAUGCACCAGCUUCUUUUCAAAGAUGCAUGAUGUUUAUAUUUUCUGAUAUGAUUGAAGAGAUUAUGGAAGUUUUCAUGGAUGAUUUCUCUGUUUAUGGAAAAACUUUUGAUAGUUGUCUUGAAAACUUAGACAAGGUUUUGCAAAGAUGUGAAGAAAAGCACUUAGUCCUUAAUUGGGAAAAAUGUCAUUUUAUGGUUAGAGAAGGAAUAGUGCUAGGACACCUAGUGUCUGAAAGAGGUAUUGAGGUAGACAAAGCUAAAAUUGAAGUAAUUACACAACUACCUCCACCUGUGAACAUAAAAGGAAUUCGAAGCUUUCUUGGCCAUGCUGGUUUUUAUCGUAGAUUCAUAAAAGAUUUUUCAUUUAUUGCUAGACCACUUACUCUUUUGCUAGCCAAGGAUGCUCCUUUCGAAUUUGAUGAUGCAUGUCUAACAUCUUUUAAUUUAUUAAAGAAAGCACUCAUCUCUGCACCAAUCAUUCAACCCCCUGAUUGGUCGUUGCCUUUUGAAAUUAUGUGUGAUGCUAGUGAUUAUGCUGUGGGGGCAGUUUUGGGACAAACUAAAAAUAAGAAGCAUCAUGCAAUUGCUUACGCCAGUAAAACUUUGACAGGAGCUCAACUUAAUUAUGCAACCACUGAAAAAGAGCUUCUGGCUGUUGUCUUUGCCAUUGAUAAAUUUAGAUCUUAUUUAGUUGGAGCUAAAAUAAUUGUUUACACUGAUCAUGCUGCACUAAAAUAUUUGCUCACUAAAAAAGAUGCUAAACCUCGCUUGAUUAGAUGGAUCUUAUUACUCCAAGAAUUUGACAUAGACAUAAAAGAUAAAAAGGGAGUAGAAAAUUCUGUUGCAGAUCACUUGUCUAGAAUGUAUUUUAAGAGUCCACAGGAAACCCCCAUCAAUGAUUCACUCCGGAACGACAUGCUCUACGGGAUUAACAGGUCUGACCCCUGGUAUGCAGAUAUUGUUAAUUUUAUGGUUUCAGGGUAUGUACCACCAGGAGCAAACAAGAAGAAGCUUAUUCAAGAAAGUCGUUCACAUAUAUGGGAUGAGCCAUACCUCUUCCGUGUAUGCUCUGAUGGCUUACUUAGGAGAUGUGUGACCACUGAGGAAGGAUGGAAGAUCAUCGACAGAUGUCAUUCAUCACCAUAUGGAGGUCAUUAUGGAGCAUUCCGUACACAUUCAAAGAUCUGGCAGUGUGGAUUCUACUGGCCUACAAUGUAUGAAGACACGAAGCAAUAUAUCAGAAGAUGUGGGCCAUGUCAAAGGCACGGAAACAUAAAUACAAUGGAUGCAAUGCCACUCACCAACAACCUUCAGAUUGAGCUCUUUGAUGUCUGGGGAAUAGACUAUAUGGGUCCAUUUCCUCCAUCAAAGAAGUGUGAGUACAUCUUGGUGGCAGUAGACUACGUCUCCAAGUGGGUAGAGGCAUUACCUUGCAAGCAUGCCGACAACAUCAGUUCAAAGAGGAUGUUUGAAGAAAUUAUAUUUCCAAGAUUCGGAGUCCCCGGAGUAGUGAUAAGUGAUGGAGGAGCACACUUCAUCGAUAAACGCUUCAAGCAAUAUCUAUCAAAACAUGGAAUCCGUCACAACGUCGCUACCCCCUAUCAUGCCCAGACAAGUGGCCAAGCAGAGACUUCCAACAAACAAAUCAAGAAUAUUCUUCAGAAGACAGUAAAUGAAAUGGGAACGGCGUGGAAAGACAAGUUACCCGAUGCACUCUGGGCAUACCGAACAGCAUACAAGACCCCAAUUGGAAUGUCUCCAUACCAAUUAGUGUACGGGAAGACUUGCCACCUACCUGUUGAACUAGAGUUCAAAGCACACUGGUCCAUAAAGAGAUGGAAUAUGGACCUAGAUGUUGCUGGAGAUCAUAGAAGAAUGCAACUAUCAGAAUUGGAAGAAUGGCGAGAGAAAGCAUAUCACAAUUCAAAGAUCUACAAAGAAAGAGUCAAAAGGUGGCAUGACAAGAGAAUCAAGAAGAAGGAGUUCACACCCGGAGAUAAGGUAUUACUUUUUAAUUCCAGGGUGAGGCUCUUCGGGCAUGGAAAACUCCGGAGCAAAUGGGAAGGACCAUUCAAGGUAAUUAAUUCAUCAUCCCACGGAGCUAUCACACUUCAAAAUGACAAAGGUACGUUAUUCAAGGUAAAUGGUCAACGUCUUAAAUUAUUUUUAGAGCCCAAUAAAGAAUUAGAAGAAAUAGACGUAGUCCAUUUUUACCUUCCCAUGGAGAAUUAGAGCCCGACCUUUUUAAUCUGAUGUUUAUGGGCCAUAUAUAUUUUUCUAAAUAAUUUUGCAUCUAGAACCACGCUCGAGAAAGUGGGCCCACAGAGGGGCCAGAGAGAGGGCGGGCACCCAGAUCAGGUGGGCGGCCGCCCAGCUCCUGUUCCCCCUCAGUCCCGAUUUUCUCUGUUAUGGAAAAUACACUUAUGGUAAUCCGAAUAAUCCCUCAGAUGGAAAGUUUCGCACGCACAUCGAUGGGAGCAACCCGAACAACCCCUAGAGGCACUUUUUGACCCCUAUAUAAACAGACCCCCGACAUCAGUUUUCAAACACCAAACCACCAAGCCUUCUCUUCUUCUUCUUCAAUUAUAGCUUGAUUAGUUCCUUGCUGCUCCAAUGGCCAAGAAGUUCCAUGAUGAUUGGGAAGUCGUCCCCUUCAACCUCAACAUGGAGCCUGCGGAAGACCCCGACGCCCGUGCUCUCGUCCCGGCCAACACAGAGCGACAGCUAGAAGCCAUGCCAUUACGCCAACGCAGCUCCGCCCAAUCCUACCAUGCUCAACCAGUUCUCACCGCACCGCCACAACCCCUACUCCUCAAGGGAUCAUCAUCCAAGACGAAGACCACCAUCAAGGUGCCAACCGACACGAGGAUCCUUCCACCUAGACCCAAUGAGAGGGUCGUUGGAGUCAAGACCAACCGGAGCGGCGAGAUCAGCAGCAUACGCUACACUACGGAGGAGGAAAGACCUUAUUUCGAAGGGAUUAGAGCAGCCAAAGUCCGUUUCAUCCCUCCAAAGGCAGCCCCGAAGCACGCUCUCAAUGCUUUUGAGACACCUCCCAAGCGUCGCAAGACUAUAGUAGAUAUUGAUGAGGACGUUCGCAGGCUAGACAAAGUUAUCAUAGACCUCCAGUCCUCGAUUAAUUCCCUCACUAGGCAGCUCUCUAACCACAACACCGUUAUACUAGACCUUAGGCAUGAUCUUGCUAGUGCCAAUAAGAAGAUUAAGGAAUUAGAGCGCCGCUAAGUUAUCUAGAUUAGACCUUGAGGCAAUGCAUCUUAGUUAUCAAUCUUUAAAUUCGGUUUAGGUUUACUAUUAUUGUCAGUUUAUCAUCAGUUUGCUACUAUCGUCAGUUUGCUGAUAGUUAUUUGUAAUAAAUGCCUCAAGAUUAAUAAAGAGUAUUAUUAUUAUUAUUAUUAUUAUUAUUAUUAUUAUUAUUAUUAUUAUUAUUAUUAUUAUUAUUAUUAUUAUUAUUAUUAUUAUUAUUAUUAUUAUUAUUAUUAUUAUUAUUAUGUUUUGUGUGUCUCUAUUUUAUUUUUUGUGCAAGAAAGCAGAAACAAGUAUAGGGGGAGAUCCCUCGACAUGCCAAACACAACUUCGACUACACCACUCCACGAGUCAGGUACACACUCUGCACACUUUACUUUACACAUACACAUAUCUUGGAUUAUGCAGAAUACUGUUUCCGACAUGAUAAAUUAAAAAGAUUAAAAUAUUUCUAAUCAUGAUUAAACUCACUCUGUGAUAUUUUCUGAAACAUGCAAUUAUUGAAAAUCAUUUUAAAACCCUGUGUUACUUAAGACAGUAUGGAAUGUGAGAUGGUAGAGUAUGAGUUUCUUAUUCUUAAUAUCAUUGUUGCUUGGAGAAUUUAUUUCAAAAUCUUCAAAAUUCUAGCUACCAUCCUCAGUGUUUUAUAUGCCUAAUAAAACUGAAAAUAUUAAUUAUGAUUAUAAAAGCUAUCUACUGUAUUGAGUUUGUUCAAAAUAAGUUAGACCCUUGUUGAGAGAUUUAUCAUGCUCCUAAGAUAAAGACAUUUAUUCAGAAAGAUUCACUCUUCCGAAGUAUUAUUGCAUUAGAGGCAUGGGCUAUGCAAAAAUAAAGAUAUCUCGAGGAAAUAAAAAGGAGCAAGUGCUCGACAACCUCGCAGAAAAAAUGGACAAGUGUCCGGCAGUAGAAUUAGGGGUACCUCGGUAUCCACUUAAAAAAAAGAAAAAAAAAAGAAAAAUGAUAGCCCAUGGUCCCUCUAAUAAGCAAUAUGCCAGCAAGAGUUGACAAAGAUUUUAAUUUCCAAAUUCUUUGAUCUAAGAGUAUGACAUUCCCCUCCUCGGAUCCCGUUUUGAUCAGGCAAUAAAUACAAAGGUAAGUAUGCUUGAGAAUUUUUGCAAUUUAAAACAACCUCAGUGAGAUAUGUAAAAGAUAAUGAGUGAUCUGAGAGAACCUAUGAAGAUAAAAGGUAUGCUAACUUUCUUUUCAAAAAUAUACAAAAACUCCAAGUAACAGGAUUGAGAAGAAAGGAUCUUUACUCUUAACCAUAUACUUCCCUGACUAUAGUACACGGUGGAUUUUAACACCCUGCAGUUAUGAAAAGAAUGUUUUACCCCAGAUAUUGUUCUUAACCAUCCUUUUCUCGAGGACGAGUAAAAGCCUAAGUAUGGGGGUAUUUGUUGACGGUUCUUAAGUAUCAAUUUUAAUUAUCAAAUAAACAAGAGAAAGGACCAAUAUGCAACCAACACCUAGAAUUAGGGUUUGAUCUGACAGAAUUCCACGAGUUUUGUUGUUUAUCUGUUUCUGCAGGGGGUUAUCAGGAAAUUAGGAAGAAAGGCCCACAUGUCGGGAUUACAUAGAGAUAUCAACGCACCGCGCAAUUUUCUACCAUCUAGAAGACUCCAGAAGCCACGGGAAGAAAGCAGAGGCCGAAAGGGGCCAGGCCCAGGGCGCCCGCCCUGAGGACCUGGGCGCUCGCCCCCCUCUGGAUGUCAAUCAGGACUCUUUUCGCACAUGACGUUCCACCGACCUAAAGGAUCAAGGAUAACGUAGUACCACAUCGCCUACUGGACCAAGAAUGCACAGAGGAGGAGGACUAUAUAAGCAGACCCCCUGGCCCCUGGAGGGACGGAAGUUUAUCAUAGAGUUGAGGGGUGCCCUCGAAGGAAAACCUCUUCUCUAAAUAAAAUUUCUUUUUAAGCUUAGCAACCAAUGUAAGUAGAAAUAGAUCUUCUAGUUUCUACUAGAUUGAGAGAGAUAGAGUGGAGGUGUAGAUCGGAGGAAGCCCGGCCUCUCGGAGUCUACUCCGAGCUUGUACCUAUAGGAUCAAGUUCUCCUAACCCGAGGCUUGCUCCUAGGAUUCUUCAGUAUUUCGACUUCUAAAUUCUAGUAAGUUCUUGUUUUAUUGUUCUUUUGAUUUAUGAGUUUACUUUAAUCUCUUCGCGUAGUGUUUAGAGUAAUCAUUGCUGGCGUAAACGUGGUGUUUAGGCUAGGGUACUCAUAGAUAUUCCCUGACUAGCUAGAUCGUGGUAGUAGUGAGGAACGUGACAAUUCCGACUUACCUUUGCAGACCAUAUCUCGUUAGCAGGAAGGAUAGGGUUUAUAGGUGCGGGUUGAACAUCCUUUGUGGUGUCUAGAUUCUGUUAGCCUCCCCAAUAGAACAGUAGAUCAUCCUUACCAAGGUUAGAAGGAGAUUACGGUUGCAGUCUUCUCUAUUUAUCACUCACAUCGAGAAACAUUCUUUGUUGCCUAAAGGGUUAGUAGUAAUAGACCAGGUUAGUCAGAUGCACUCUUUCUCCUAGUGGUAAAAAUAUAAAUACGAUACUCUGGAUAACAUCCCGGGUGAAGUGCUCACCGAUAUCCAUGCGCUUGCGGAUCAAUUCCUUAUUGCGUUCCUAAAUAUGAACACUGACUCGUGGGGCCCGGCUGUCAGCCACCGAACGGGGAGAGGCGCACGGCUGUCUGGCCACUGGGCCGCUCACGGGCCGAGAGAGGGAAUAGGCCGAACGAGGGGGAGAAAAGGGGGAAGGGUGCUGGGCUGCGGGGAAGCUGGUUGGGCUGAGCGCGGGGGAGAGGAAAAGCUGGGCUGCAGCCUUGCGGCCAGCUCCCAGGGGUUUCUCCCCUUUAACCUUUUAUUUUUAUUUUCUUUUUCAAAAACAUUUUCCAACUAGAAUUCUGUGCACAAAUUAUUUCUAUCCAAAAGCAAAGCAAGCAAAACAUAAAAUAUGCUCCAGCAUGAAUGCAUAACCAUGUUUCUAAUCCUAGGAUGAAUUUUAAUCACCAUAAAAUUAUUUAUUUGCUAGAUUCAAAAUGCUCACCAAAAAUACUUAAAUAAAUCAAUUUAAUUCCUGUUAAUUGAAAUCAAAUUUUUGGGUGUUACAAACUCUACCCUCCUUUAAAAGAAUCUCGUCCUUGAGAUUGAACGGUGCUUACUCAAACAAAUACGAAUACGAUUUCCUUAGAUCAUCCUCUCUUUCCCAAGUUGCCUCUACUUCGGAAUACCGAUUCCACUACACUUUGCACAUUCUAAUUACCCGACUUUUGGUGACUCUCUCAGCUGUCUCCAAUAUUCUGAUCGGAUAAUCUUCAUAAGUGAGAUCACCUUUAACAGAAAGCUCUUCCAAUGGUAUUUGCUCCUCAGGUAUACGCAAACACUUCUUAAGUUGUGACACAUGGAACACAUCAUGCACACCAGAUAAACUUUCAGGCAACUCUAACUGAUACGCUACUUCUCCACACCUUUGCAAAAAUUUAAACGGACCGACAUACCUUGGAGCUAGCUUUCCUUUCAUAUUAAACCUCUUCACACUCCGCAUAGGUGACACUUUCAGAUAGACAUAAUCACCUUCCUCGAAAGCUAGUUCUCUCCUUCGUGUAUCUGCAUAACUUUUCUGACGAGACUGAGCAACUCUCAGAUUAUCCCGGAUAGUCUGCACUUGUUGUUCUGCAUUUCUAAGCACAUCCAUACCAAACACCUGAGUCUCCCCAGUUUGAUUCCAAAACAAAGGUGUUCUACACUUACGACCAUAUAAUGCUUCAAACGGUGCCAUUUUAAGACUUAGCUGAUAACUAUUGUUGUAGGAAAACUCUGCAUAUGGCAAACUCUUAUCCCAACUGGUUCCAUACUGCAAAGCACAAGCUCUUAACAUAUCCUCCAGUAUUUGAUUGAUCCUCUCAGUCUGUCCAUCUGUCUGUGGAUGAUAUGCUGUACUAAAAUUCAACUUUGUCCCUAAGGAAUCAUGCACUGCUUUCCAAAAAGUAGAGGUAAACUGAGUGCCUCUAUCAGAUACAAUCUUCUUAGGCACUCCAUGCAAACAAACUAUCCGCUCCAUAUACAACUCUGCUAGUCGAGCUCCUGAAUCAGUGGUUUUGACUAGCAAGAAGUGAGCAACUUUAGUCAAUUGAUCCACUAUUACCCAUAUUGAAUCAUAUCCUCUUUGUGUACGUGGUAAACCUACUAUAAAAUCCAUACCCACUUCUUCCCACUUCCAUUCUGGAAUCUUCAUUGGUUGCAACAAUCUAGCUGGCCUCUGAUGUUCAGCUUUCACUCGCUGACAAGUAUCGCACAAAGCAACAUACUCAGCUACAUCUCUUUUUAAUCCAUACCACCAAUACUUCAGUUUUAGAUCUAGAUACAUCUUGGUACUACCAGGAUGAAUGGAAUAUGCUGACUCAUGAGCCUCUCUUAGAAUCAUAUCACGAAUAGCCUUCACUUCAGGAACACAUAUCCUUUUUCCAAACCACAGUACACCAUUGUCAUCUGUUCUGAAUCCUGGUGCUUUGCCUAGUACCACAUUCUGUGCUAUCUCCUUUAGCUUCUCAUCCUCCAAUUGUCCUUUCAAUAUCUCUUCCUCUAAAGUAGGAGUGACCUCAAUUUCCAUAGCAUUCACUACAAUUCCCAAGUUCAAAUAUGCAAAUUCAGCACACAACUCCUCAGAUUCAGGUGUCGCCCGAAGCUCAUUAGCAUAUUUCUUUCUGGUAAGUGCAUCAGCCACGACGUUCACCUUUCUAGGAUGAUAAUGCACUUCCAAAUCAUAAUCCUUUAUCAGUUCCAACCAUCUUCGUUGCCUCAAGUUCAGAUCUGUCUGGGUGAAGAUAUACUUUAGACUCUUAUGAUCAGUAUAUAUGUCACUCUUAUGCCCAAUCAAAUAGUGUCUCCAAAUCUUCAAUGCAUGGACCACAGCUGCUAACUCUAGAUCAUGAGUAGGAUAAUUCAGUUCAUGUUUCCUCAACUGUCUAGAUGCAUAAGCAACAACUCUACCUUCUUGCAUAAGAACACAACCCAAACCCAGACGAGAAGCAUCACAAUAGAUAGAGAAACUCUUACUCAGAUCUGGCAAUACCAACAUAGGUGCAGUAGUCAAUCUCUUCUUAAACUCCUCAAAACUAGCUUGACACUUGUUAGACCAUACAAACUUAGCAUUCUUCUCCAACAGAGCAGUCAUAGGCUUUGCAAGUUUUGAGAACCCUUCAAUGAAUCUACGAUAGUAACCAGCUAAACCAAAAAAACUUUGAAUUUCACUUACAUGUGUAGGUGGUUUCCAAUUCAGCACAUCUUUCACCUUACUAGGAUCCACUGCAAUACCACCAUUAGAGACAAUAUGACCAAGAAAAGAAACUUCUUCCAACCAAAACUCACAUUUACUACGCUUAGCAUAUAGCUUAUGUUCUCUCAGUUUCUGUAAGACUAACCAGCAUGUUCUUCCUUGGUUUUAGAGAAUACCAGAAUAUCAUCAAUAAAGACCACCACAAACUUAUCAAGAUACUCCAUAAAUACUUUAUUCAUCAUGUACAUAAAGUAAGCUGGUGCAUUGGUCAAACCAAAAGACAUAACUGUAUACUCAUACAACCCAUACCUUGUCGUGAAAGCUGUCUUUGGUAUAUCUGAAUUCCGAAUCUUCAAUUGAUGUUAACCAGAACGCAAAUCAAUCUUAGAGAACACACAAGCACCUCUUAGCUGAUCAAACAAGUCAUCAAUCCUAGGCAAGGGAUAUUUGUUCUUGAUAGUGACCUCAUUAAGUGACCGAUAAUCAACACACAUCCUCUGAUUACCAUCCUUCUUAUCAACAGAGAUAACUGGUGCACCCCAUGGUGAUGAACUAGGACGAAUGAACCCUUUAUCUUGCAAUUCCUUAAUUUGUUUCUUAAGUUCUUCUAGUUCAUUAACCCCCAUUAUAUAUGGUCUUUUAGCUAUGAGUGCAGUACCAGGUAGUAAUUCAAUAAUAAAUUCAAUGUCUCGGUCAGGUGGCAUACCUGGCAAUUCAUCUGGAAAGACAUCCGGAAACUCAUCCACUACUAGACUCUGAGGAUCAACAUCAUCGUUCAGUUGGUUCACUUUAGCUGUGAGUGGUGCUUGCACUGUUACAUCAACACUGAUUCGUUCUCCCUUUGGUGUUGUCAGAGCCACUACUCUCUCUUUGCACUUAAUAUCUAUCUCAUAUUGUUUCAUCCAAUCCAAACCCAAGAUCACAUCUAUGCCUGAAGUUCUCAUAACCAUGGGACUGAUAGGAAAAUCUACCCCCUUAAAGAAAGACUCGCUGAGGGGCAACAAUAAGAAACUGGUAUAGUCCGACCUGGUGAAUUUACUAGCAUAGAGGUUUUCAUGGCAACUACUAGAAUUCUAUGAACUCUAACAAAUGCUUGUGAAAUGAAUGUAUGCGAAGCUCCAGAAUCAAAUAAAACUAUAGCAGGGAUAGAGUUGAUGGUGAACGUACCCAUCAUAAUCUCUGGUCCCUCCUGAACUGUCUCUGUAGCCACAUUAUUCACUAUUGCCGCAUAAGCAGUAGACUUCUGGUUGCUGUUCGGCUUGUUGAGCUUCUCCAGGCAAUCAUAUGACAUAUGUCCCUCCUACCCACAAUGGAAACACCUUAUAGGAGUCUUAGAAGCACUUCUUUUCAUAGAGGUGGCAUUUGAGUUCCCUGAGCGGGGUGUCUGCUGUCCAUUCUACUGUUGGUUAUGAUUACGCUGCUGGAAUGGAGGACGCUGAUUCCCACCUUGUGAUUGAUUCCGGAAACGCUGAGGUUGUUGGUUGCGGUUCAACUGGCUAACUAGUCCCUGGAACCUUUGUUGAUGGCCUUGUUGAGAACUGAAACGCUGACGGUUGUUGCUCCCAGAACCUUGUGCCAGCAUCCUUCUCUUCUUAUCCUACCCCUUGCGCAUGUUGUCCAACACUAUAGCCCGAUUCACCAGAGCUUGGAAGGUAGGAUAAGAGUUUCCUGCCAGUUGCAACCUGAGUUCAUAGUAUAGGCCUUUCAUGAACAAGCGCUACUUAUCAGCAUCUUCUCUGACUUCAUUUGGAGCAUAGCGGGCCAACUGUUCAAAUGUGUCAUGAUAUUCUACCACAGUCAUGGAGCCCAUCCUGAGAGAUCUGAAUUCUUCUUGCUUGAGCUCCAUCAUUCCCUCAUUUAUAUGCUGAGCUCUGAAGUCUCUACAAAAUUCCAGCCAUGUGACAGGAGGAGCAUUGUUGGGACGAGUAGCUUGAUAUGACUCCCACCAUAUCUGAGCUGCCCCCUGAAGCUGUCCAGAAGUAUACAACACCUUCUCCAAGUCAUUGCACUAUGCUAUGUUCAGUUGCCUCUCCACAGCACGUAACCAAUCAUCUGCCUCUAUAGGAUCAGCUGAGUGUGUAAAUACCUGAGGUCUUCCCUUCAUAAACUCCCCACGCUUAUCUCUCACAUGAACAGGUGGCGGUGGUGGUGGAGGUUGCUGCUGUAGGUGCUGCAUGAAAACGUGCAUCAUCUCAUUCUGAGUUUGCAUGAGCUCUUCCACAGUAAUUGGAUCAUUGGCACCCAUGCCACGGCCUCUGCUUCUGCCUCUUCCUCGUGCUGCCAUCUACAUUCCGAGGUAUAUAAACAUAUCUCAGUAAUAUCCAACAUGAUAAAUACAAGAGAUCGUUGAAUCUGAAUUUUUCUGGACGACAUCCAACAUUAGCAGUCCAGAAAGUCAGUCAUAUCUCAAGUUCCAGAAUUCAAAAUGAUACAUUCUGUACACCGUUGAAAAGAUAAAGAAAUUAUCUACAACUUUCAUUUAGACCAUAUUAACAGAUUCCAUCAUUAAAUUAACCAAAACUGGGCACAACCGAAACUGUUCCAGAAUUCCAGACUGCACAGAACCUCAAAUUUAAACUGCCAUAACUCACGGCUCAUAACAGAUAAUAAUGUCAUUCUUGAGGCAUUGGAAAGAUAUGAAAGUCUACUUGUUCCCAGAAAAAUAUGAUGAACUUUUCACAAACAGAAUUUGAGAUGUACUAGAUUUGUUACAGACUGCUCCAGAAAACAGCAAAAGAUAGAAACAGAAUUUUAACCAAACCCAACUAUUUAGUUCAUUAAUCCUUAUGCCUUAAGCCUAUAACUAAAUGAAAUUGUAGAGAAAAUCCACUAGAUGAUUACACUCAUUACAAAGAUCUAAAUCAAGCAUAAGCAUAAUAACAACCAAACCAAGCAUCAAAAGUUCACACUUCAAGCAUUGACUUAACUUGCGGUACUAUCGUUCUCUUCUUGUUAAGGGUAAAGAUCCUAUAACUCCUAUUUCAAAGACGCUAGAAGGUGGUGAGAAAAAUUUCUAAUAGCAUAUCAAGCAAGGAGUGAGGAUGAGAACAAGUCUUUAAAAUAAGCAUCAAGGUGAAGAUGAAUAGCAAUGAAAAGGAUAUAGUAUAGGAGAAAAUAUCAAGGUUUAUUGAACAAGGAUUUUAUAGCAAUUUUAAAACCUUAAGACGGCCAAUUUCUAACUAGGCUUACGUCCGAUAGUCAACAAAGCUCUGAUACCAAUCUAUCACACCCAUAUUUUAAGAACAAAAUAGGAUGCAUAAAAGACUCAUAUGUGCCCCAGAAACAGUCGCACACAUAAGUAGACAAAUCUCAAAUGUACCAUUGCAGUGUUUAUUACAUAGCAGAACAAUAAUAAAUCACAUAGUCUUAUACAAGAAUGAUAAUAAGAUUAAACAGUGCCCUCGAUGGAAGCACCACACAGAGACACUGUUGACUGGUUGACUCCAAGCCUAAUACUCAUAACGGUAGUCCUCAUUCCAAUCAUCAUCAUUAGCAUAACCUGGGAUGUUGGGAAAUUGCAAGAGUGAGCACAUAUCGUACUCAACAAGUAUAACCAGGGGUUCAUGAGGCUCAAAUAGCUGACACUGGUUUGACUGCAUUUAGCUUUUAUAUGUAGAUAGCAUGUUUAUAUUUAGAUAGCCAAUAUCAAGGUAGCAUAGUAAAUCUCACAACCACAUGAUCAAUGUAUACAAGAAUAAAGAAUAACACAUAUAAACAACAUAAUAAAUCAUCAUUUAUCAUCAUUAAUCAUAUUCAUCAGUGUCCAUCUAUUCCGUCAGUUUUCCGGGCCGCCUGUAUCCGUGGGCACGACUAGUAUACUAGAUUUAACACUCUGCAAAGGUUGUACAUCUUUACCCAUGAGUCAUGAUUUACCCUUUCGCCCGAGGUAGCUAAUCUCUUAACCCCCUUCAUAGGGAUGUCGGCAGGGAUCACUAUGAAGCCUUUCAAAAGUUCGUCUAACAUGUUAGGGCCGCAAGGUUUCCUUCGCGCGCAGAUAUAGGUACCCCCCUUCCAAAUGGCACAAUGACGCGUAGCCUAUACACAUAAGCACAGGGGCUCGCACUAUACCCGAAACGGUUCACACUACUACAGAAUGAGGCAUUGGUCGAUGCCCAAAAUGGCCAAAAACCUCGGCCUUUUUGCGGCCCGGGGUUAAAGGCCCCUUUAACACCGGUUCGUAACACGAACCGGUGCUAAAGGGUCCUACCCAACGGCUACUGACGGGUGCUGUCAGGGCAGGGACCCUUGAGCACCGGUUCGUGUUACCAACCGGUGCUAAAGGGUCCCCUUUAGCACCGGCCAGUGCCACGGGCCGAGGCAAAGCCUUUAGCACCGGUUUCAAACACAAACCGGUGCUAAAGGGCGACCCUUUAGCACCGUUUUUUUCCCUCAACCGGUUCUAAAGCUCUGUUUUAUAUGCCUGCCUUCUCCUCCCCUCUGCCCAUUUGAAACCGAGAGCACCAUUGUUGUUCUUGGAGCUUCUUCUUCCUUGUUCUUCAUUUGUUCUUCAUCUCUGACGCCCAUCGUUGAUCUUCUUCGACUCCGUCAUCGUUUCUUCGUGCUUGGAGGUGACUAACUUUUGUCUUUCUUGUCUUUUUCAUGUUGUUUUUGGCUUGUGAUGUUCCCAUUAUUUUUAGCUCAAAUCCACUUUGUUAUUUUGAAUCAUUCAUAUGAAUUAGUAUCCAUAUAUAUAUAUCAUAUUUCAUGGUUGACCUAGUAUUAAUGUAGUUUGCAAGAAUGAAUUAUAGUAUCUUUUAUGAUCUUAGAAAGUAGGAUAGUUCAAAUUAAUUGGUUUGUUAAUAUCACUUGAUUUAUUUUUAUUACUACAUAAUGUCCAUUGUAUAAUUUAGAAGAUUUGUUGAAGUAACUAGACAAAUAAAGGAUAUUAUUAGGUUCUUCUUUAAUCAUACAUGUUUACUAGUAAAUGUGAAAUUUAUAAUUGUUUAAAAAUUGAGUAUGGAUAGUAGAUGGCAACCGUGACCGGGUCUUCGGUCUCUCAACGGGUUCAAAUGCGAUACCGGCCGGAACUCCCUCUCAUUACUUGUGGCAAGUGUGGGCAGAAGAUUGUGAUGGAGUACAAAGUGUCGAAAGAGGGAGUAAAUAAGGGUCGUAUAUUCUACAAGUGUCCAGAUCGUAAUGUGAGUUAUUUCCAGACAUUUGCUUAUAUAUGUGCAUAUUUUUUUAAAUGAUAUUAAUUAAACUUUUGAUUCUCUCUUUUAAUUUCAGUGGGACGGUACCGGCGGAUGUACGGGUUGGUACUGGGAGGAAGAAUACAUUGAACACAUUAAGAAAUCUUUUGCAUAGGUGGUUGAGGCUGAAGGUGGUGAGGCAGUGAGCCGACGAAAGGAGUUCAAUGAUUUUGAUCAAGCGAAUGAUCUAUCUAAUAGUUGGGAUCGGACGCGAAAUAAUUAUGUUGCUUAAGUGCAUUUUAGUUUUGGUUUUUUUAGUGCUAGUUGCGAUUGUAUUUGUUGUAGCCAAGCUUUCCUGAAUUAAUCAACUAUGUAUCUUAGACAUGUUGUGCAAUAAGAUGAGAAACUAUAUGUGUGCAUGGUUUUCAUAAUAUAUAUGUUAUAUUUAAUGCAGAUGGUAACACGUAAUUGGAUGUAUAAUGCCGAUCGGUGCUCCGAAGAGUUCAUUAAUGGCGUGCACUAUUUCUUAAGUGUGACUGAGACAAAUAAGAGGGACGGUUUCAUGUGCUGUCCAUGUGCCGUGUGCAAGAAUUUGACGGAAUAUUCUAACUCAAGAACUCUUCAUUCACACUUAUUAAAGUCUGGUUUCGUACCAAACUAUAUUUGUUGGACCAAACAUGGAGAAAGCGGGAUUAUAAUGGAUGAAGGUGAAGAAGAAGAAGAAGAAUUGGACCAUGCCAAUAUUAUUGCUCAGUACGGUGGCUUCAAUGAUGUUGCAAUGGGGGGAGAUAAUGAAGAAGAGGUAGCGGCAGAAGAUGAUCGGGGCGAUGAUGCUUUUGGUGAUGCCAUCCGUGAUGCACAAAGAGAAUGUGAAAGUGAUAAAGAGAAAGCCAAGUUCGAGCGCAUGCUAGAGGACCACAGGAAAUCGCUAUAUCCCACCGCUGAAGAGGGGCAAAAAAAGCUGGGUACCACACUAGAAUUACUGCGAUGGAAGGCAAACAAUGGUACAUCUGACAAGGCAUUUGGGCAGUUAUUGAAGAUCAUAAAAAAGAUGCUUCCAAAAGGCAACGAAUUGCCCACCACUACGUAUGAAGCAAAACAGGUUGUCUGCCCUUUGGGAUUAGAAAUCCAGAAGAUACACGCAUGUUCUAAUGACUGCAUCCUCUACCGUGGGGAGGAAUACAAGAAUUUGGAUGUAUGUCCAGUAUGUAAAGCAUCACGGUAUAAGAUUAGACGAGAUGAUCCUGGCGAUGUUGAGGGUGAAGAACGUCAUAGGAAGAAAAUUCCUGCCAAGGUUAUGUGGUAUGCUCCUAUAAUACCACGAUUAAAACGUCUGUUCAGAAAUAAGGACAAUGCAAAGUUGUUGCGGUGGCAUAAAGAAGACCGUAAGAUAGACAAUAUGCUGAGACACCCUGCCGAUGGAUCCCAGUGGAGAGCGAUAGACAGAGAAUUCCUAGAUUUUGCAGAUGAUGCUAGAAACUUGUGGUUCGCCUUAAGUACAGAUGGUAUGAAUCCUUUCGAUGAGCAGAGCAGUAGUCACAACACUUGGCCAGUUACUCUAUGUAUCUACAACCUUUCUCCAUGGCUAUGCAUGAAGCAGAAGUUUAUUAUGAUGUCGGUGCUUAUCCAAGGACCGAAGCAACCUGGCAAUGACAUAGAUGUCUACCUAAGGCCAUUAGUUGAGGAACUUCAACUUUUAUGGAGCAAACCAGGAGUUCGCGUGUGGGAUGAGUACAAACAAGAGCACUUUGACCUGCGAGCAUUGCUGUUUGUAACAAUCAAUGAUUGGCCAGCUCUGAGUAAUCUUUCAGGCCAGUCAAACAAGGGAUAUAAUGCAUGCACACAUUGUUAUGAAGACCUUGACUGUGUAUUUUUGAAAAAAUAUCGAAAGGUCGUGUACCUUGGCCACCGUCGGUUUCUUCCUGUGAACCACCCAGUACGAAAGAAAGGCAAGCAUUUUAAAGGCAAGGCAGACCACCGGACCAAACCUCUCAAUCGAACCGGGGAUGAUGUACUCGAAAUGGUCAAGGAUAUAAAAGUGGUAUUUGGAAAGGGACGAGGCAGCGAACCUAUUGCCAAGGAUGCUAAGGGACACGUACCCAUGUGGAAGAAGAAAUCCAUAUUUUGGGAGCUACCUUACUAGAAUGUCCUGGAGGUCCGCAACGCCCGACGUGAUGCAUCUGACAAAGAAUCUUUGUGUGAACUUGCUCGGAUUCAUGGGUGUCUACGGGAAGUCUAAGGAUUCACUUGAAGCACGACAAGACUUGCAGCGCAUGAAAGAACGAGACAACCUGCAUCUAGAAAAGACAGAUGAUGGACGUCAUUACUUAAGCCCUGCUAGCUACACUCUGAGCAAAGAAGAGAAGGAAAGCAUGUUUGAAUGUCUUAGUAGCAUCAAGGUCCCAUCUGGAUUCUCCUCCAAAAUCAAGGGAAUAAUUAAUGUGCCAGAGAAGAAAUUCCUGAACUUGAAGUCCCAUGACUGUCACGUUCUAAUGACGCAAUUGCUGCCAGUGGUUUUAAGAGGAAUUUUACCUCCACACGUACGUCUGGCCACCGUAAAGCUAUGUGCAUUCCUCAAUGCAAUUUCUCAGAAGGCAAUCAAUCCAGAGCAACUAGCUACUCUGCAAAAUGGUGUCGUUCAAUGUCUCGUCAGCUUUGAGUUGGUGUUCCCUCCAUCCUUCUUCGAUAUCAUGACACACCUCCUAGUUCAUCUGAUAAAAGAGAUUCGUAUUCUCGGUCCUAUGUUCCUACACAACAUGUUCCCCUUCGAGAGAUUCAUGGGUGUCCUAAAGAAAUAUGUGUAUAGUCGUUCCCGGCCAGAAGGAAGCAUUGCCAAGGGCUACGGAACAGAGGAGGUCAUAGAGUUCUGUGUUGACUUUAUUCCAGACCAUGACCCAAUUGGCAUUCCUGAAUCUUGACACGAGGGCAGACUCAGAGGAAAGGGAACACUUGGGAAGAAAACAUAUAUUGGUAGGGAGACGAUUACUUCAAUAAAGCACACUACACAGUUCUCCAGAACUCCUCAUUGGUGGAACCAUAUGUUGAGGUACACAAAGAUUUCCUACGGUCCCAGUGGCCCGGGAAGAAUGAAGCUUGGAUAAUGCGUCAGCACAUGGAAACUUUUGGCGAUUGGUUGCGCAAAAAAUGUCAAGGUGAUGAAAACAUUGAUGAGCAGCUUUAUUUGUUGGCCAGGCAACCAUGAUGGCAUGUCCUCACGUACAAAGGGUACGAGAUAAAUGGUAACACAUUUUACACAGUUGGCCAAGAUAAAAGGAGCACCAACCAAAAUAGUGGUGUACGCGUGGAUGCCACGGAUCCAAAUGGGAACAGACAAACAUAUUAUGGACGCAUAGAAGACAUAUGGGAACUAGUCUAUGCAGCUAAUUUUAAAGUUUCUUUGUUCCGGUGCCAAUGGGUGAAGCCAAGAAGAAUCUAGGUCGGGAGCAGGGGUUGGUGGAUGGUUAGUCCAAGACGCGGAACAACAGAGUUUUCUAGCGUAUUAUUAUACCGUCGUCGCCUUUGAAUUCUUUAUGUGUACGUACAAUUACAGCUCGAAUUACUUCGGAUCUUUCUAGAGGCAUUUGGGGCACUGCGCGGAGUUGAGUUCGGAAGAAUCCUAGUUUCUUUUUUUUAUGGAACACGCGCUUGCUAACUGACUAUUUUCAAGCCCGUCUCCAGAGGAUCCUCCUCGAGUUCUACCGGGCCCCGGUGAACGGCGGUCGCACGAAAGGCCUAGGCCUUUGAUUAGGACAUUGCACAAUGAUCCAAACACUUUGUCGCAUCUCUUCGAUACGAAUACAGUAACGAUCAUAGCGAUCCCCUCUGGUACCCCUGUGAAGCUUAACAGACAAAGAAAACGAUAGAGACUUCCGGGUAUAGGGUGACGAGCCUGACGGAGCAAUGCCGCGUGGAGGUGGAAGGCCUACGGGUCGUCAACUUCUUUUCUCGGAGAAGAAACAAUGACAGUGGAAACGGCGAACAAUUGCUGUAAUAUAUAGUAUAGAUACCGGAGAAACAUGCUGCUCUCCUCUUCUAUUCCAUUUUAUGUUUCUACAUAUCUUUCGAGAAGGGGGAGGUCCGAGCCAUAACGGAUUGAUGUGACCGUAACGGCGACUUGGAUAGCCGUAACACUCUCGGUAUGGAGGCGUCCCGAAGGGGACCGGCAGUAAGACUGCUUAUGCCCCGAAAGGCUGAGCCGAAUCAAAAAAAGCCUGGAAUUCCACCAACAGGAAUCUUCCUUCAAGUCCUCCAUACGUCAGUUUCUAUUCCAGCCCAGCAACGAAGGUCGGUCUGCAACAUUCCCUGGUACCCAUUCCGCUUACAGCUAGAAUCUCUAUCUCUGAUCCUGCCCUCCUUCCUAUCUGUCAUUUACAGAAGGUGCGAACCUGGUCUAGCAUCUCUCGGGUUUUUUUUCUCUCCUAUUUUUUUUUCUGUCAUAUAUUUUUCUCCUAUUUUUCAUUUUUUAUUUUCAAAAUAGGAAGUUCGAGAUAGAAUUUGGUCCAGUUGCUUCCCGCGGGUUUUCAUAACCCUGCUGCGCAAAAAUGGGGGUUAUUAUAACAAUAUAAAAUGAAGAUAAUGUUUGGAGUUUAAUAAGCUCUUUGCAAAAGAAUAGUUCCUGCUAGUGAAGUACCUAAAUAGUGCAAUCUCUUGCAUCGAGAAUCAUCCUACUUCUUCACUUAAUGCUUGCUUUCCGUCUUGCCUUUGCUGGGCCUACGAUAGGCUGUACUCCAAUACGAAAUAAGAUUUCUGGAGGCGCCUCACCACAAAUGCCUUUCCGUGACCCAAGCUACUUUACAAGCCUAUUUGUAAAAAACCUAGAAACUACUUCUCGUGAUGUUGUGGUAGAGCUUUUAUUUUAGCUCGAAACAUGCCGUAGUUCCUCGCUGGGACAGGAAUAAGUCGUCAAGUAGGCAUAUGAAUGGGAAAGGCUUUUCUUGUGGAUUCCUCCAACUCCAUGAAUGAAGGGGGGAGUAUGAGGAGGCUCUUUCAUCAACUGAUGUAAAGAUCAGUUAAUUCGCCAUAGUUUUUCUUUAGGGAAAGAUAAUAAGAUGGCUCCCUGUGCUCUGGCGCUAAUUCGUAGUGCUCUUCAGGUCCGAUACACAGAUCUGUCUUUUUCUCGAAAGACCUCCUUGUAUUUUCUAAUGUUCCGAAUCUAGCUUAUUCAACGUGGAUCCGACAAGAUCUGCUCCUCUUAGGCUCUACCACUGAGCUACUGAGGAACAAGGGGAGAUUCGACCUCCUAGAGUUCAACUCCCGCUCUCAACCCGUGAACAAUAUGAGUCCGAAGCUUCUUUCGUAACUCCUGAAAUUUGGUUUUUCAAGUAGUAUAGUUUUCUCAAGAAACCGGAAAAAGAUAAGUGUAGAUAAGUAAGGAGGGGCCCUUAGUGAGUGUGUAUAGGUUUCUGAGUCAGAAGAUUCUCAGGAUGGAGUUCCCCCGACUAGAAGGAUCCAGGGACAACGGCUAUUUCCUCCUAAAAUAUUGGCAGUAGCCGAAACGACUGGAAACCCAGGUAGCGGUCCGAAAAGGGCAAAAGUGGGAAGCGGAGACCGUAAAAAGGGGGAAAGGGCUGUUCCCUAUUAUUUCAAUCUUCCUCAACAGCUUCUAAUGAUUAACUUGCAAAACCCAUUCUUGCAAAGAGCCCUUUUUCCAAUCCGGACAAAAUCGCGGGUGUCCAGUUGGCAUGGGUCUGGGUUCGGCUCAUCAACUCGAACGGUCAAUGCUGGCCUGAUACCAGCAUCGUUAUACGUCACAAGUUGGGGUUGUUGGGGAGUAGGGCCGGGGGAGAAGUUCUAGAUACUUUUCCUUACAUUGUAUCCGACAUCCUUUCCAUUCUUUUGGAGAGAACUCGACUACUAGAAGGCACUAGACUCUGGGCUCCUCGUUCAUCGGGAAAUGGGCCUGAAACCGCGCACUCCCAGAAUGGCGCUUCAAAUAUCACCAAAGAGAGAGGGUGCUUGCACCUGGCACCUCGGUCUUCAGUUGAGAAAAGUGCGAGUCAUAGAAAGUUUGAAAUCCAAAUCAAGAUAAAACGCGAAUAUGGGAGCCCGGAGGAAGAUUCUAUCUUAAUAAAUGAGGGUUUUAUUGAGCAUCGAGGAACAAAAGAAUUUAGUCUAAAAUACCAAAAAGAAGUAGAUCGGUUUUUUUUCAUUCUUCAAGAACUGCAUCCGCUCUCAACCCGUGAACAAUAUGAGUCCGAAGCUUCUUUCGUAACUCCCGUUCCCUUGGCAAGGAAGUUCUGAUCAUUGCAUUGGCAUUCCAUGUUUGCAGGCCACAUCCCAAAGCAGCGAAGAACAAAUAGAAUUUGCUACAAAAGCCGGCUAAGGACAGACAAGAGAAGAAGUCAGAAGGGCAUAACCUGGAGUCCGUCUUUUCUAGGUGCGCAUCUCUAUCUACUAAAAGUAGCCCAUGUCUUUGAAAUCCAACGAUCGUAAUGCCUAUAAAAAUGGAAAAUGAAAGAGCCAAAGUUUUUACUAGAAGUGGAAGAGUUACACAAAGUUCGCGAAAUGAUCACAAGGGUUUAUGCACUAAGAACAGGCAAAUAUGCCUGGGUAAUUCCUCUUCUCCCACUUCCAGUUAUUAUGUCAAUGGGAUUUGGACUUUUUCUUAUUCCCACAGCAACAAAAAAUCUUCGAUCGGUUUCGGGUCAAAUAGGAAGAACGUAAAUCUUCCACCUCUGGAAAGCGCCUACACCUAAUGGCUUAAGCCGCUGUUCCCAUUUCCUCGCUGACCCAUCAUGCGAAAGGUACGCCGUUAGAGUGCGUGCGCCCGCGCUCCGCUCCUUCGACUGAUUGUUCGCAUCGGAUCUCAGGUUCUCUAUUGCACUCCCCGAUUGGGGUUCUUUUCACCUUUCCCUCACGGAAUAGAAAGAUAGAUCCAUCCAUCUAUCCAGAUAUCUAAAAAAGAAUCGAUUUUGAUUUCAUGAAACCUUUGAUUCAAAGAACUGCGCUUAGCCCCCCCGCUCAUGAAACGGCUCUGCUGCAAUGGAUGGCAGAGGGUCCGUAGUACACGAAGCACUGGAGUGAUCCAGUAGCUGGGAAGGGGCCUAGAAGUGCCCCUUUGAGUUUGAUCAAAAAAACAAAAAUGCAAGAAAAAUUGCAAUCCCUACCACGUAAUAGUGCACCUACACGCCUUCAUCGACGCUGUUUUUUAACCGGCGAAUAUCUGUAUAUAAGAAACUUCUAUUCCAAUCCACAAUCGGUCCAACAAGUCAACUGUCGUCAAUUAGAUCAAUCAGGAAUAAGCAAUAUGUCGUACCCUAUCUGUCAUAUUUGCUUUUCGGUAAAGUUGAACCGGGACCUAUUCUCAUAAUAGGCAGCAAGCAAAGCUAAAUAGGAAAGGGGGCGACGUUGCCUUUUUCGUCAAAAUAAAAAAGGGUGGAAUGUGGAGCAAUUCUUCCAUGUUUCCGCAGUAGCAUAUUGUUCCAUGGAGCUAGGGUCCAAAAUAGGAAUCAACAAGUGUUUCCACGACUCUACCGCCCGGCCAAUCCUGUUCCACUGAAUCCCCUGAGCCGGAGGUCACUUUUCCCGAUCCAUCCCGAAGGUUUUUUUCCCUCUCUCGCCCCAUCAUCGUACCCAGUCCUGCUAUCGGCUCAGCCCAAUAGCAGCUGGGCUAGGUACGAUGAGCGGGCGACGAAAGUCAUGAAAAUUGGUAAGUUGGUCAAUGGAAUCCAGUCGAAAGAUCAAGAAAGCAAAGCAUAAGAAGACUCUGAUCCUCUUCUACGAAUCUACAACUCUCUUUACUGAGCGAGACUUCAUCUAUAUCCCUAAAAGUGGAUUUGGAUUCCCAUUUUUUCUUUGAAUGACAUUGAAAAGGGGGGUCCCUCCUCCCCCUGCUAGCUAGAUAUGGUGGGGUGCUUUCGCAACGAAUCUCUUGACCUAAAAAAAGUGUCCUUUCUCGAUACAUAACAUUGUAUAAGUCAACCCAAGUCGCUUCUUCAUCUCCGGGAAUCUGGUAAGGUACUUUUGGAACACUAAUGGGCAUAUUAGAUUAAUAUUAUUAAAUUUAAGUAAAAAAACUACACUUUAAUAUGGAAACAUAAGAAUCUGCAGAAGCAUCUAAUAGCGAUUCUUAGAAUCCACAGCAAAGAACAGAACACCUCGUUCCCAUUUCUCUUUUUGUACGGAAUGAACCAAUUCUCGUUCUACAACAAGAAGAAGAUCCAUGAACUGGAACGGAUGGAAGAUAGCACUAGAAGUAAAAGAAAUAUUGAAAGGUGAUUUUACUAGUCAAGCAAGUAUCGGACAACUGCGAGCGAAAGCAAGAGAUGUUUCUCGAGCUACAAUGAACAAUUCCAUUCAAAGGAAUGUUCUAGAGGGGGCCCUUUUCCGCAAAUUUUGUUGAAAAUUAGUCGUUAUUUGAACGAAACCGGGAGGCCUCUGCCGUCUUACAACGCUCACCGGGAUUUCUGAGCAGAAGUACUCGGGCCCCGACUCGAUCCUGGGGGAAAAGUGAUAUCCAGCACGGGUCCAAUAAUUUGAUCAAUAUGCCCUACGCUUUUUUCUUCAAUUGUGGAAACCCCGGGACGCGAAGUAGUAGGGCAUCUUUCGGCGGAGGAAAGGAGGCGACUAGUCGCUUCUGGCGAAGCUGCGAGUUCAUGAGCAAGUGAAUGAACGAGCUGCGAGUGAAGUGCUCCUCAGCAAAUCUAAUCCCAAUACGAAUUCCAGAAUAAUGCUAUAAUGGAGCCAUCCUUUCCAAAUGAAUCUGUAUCCUCUGUUUCGAUGAAAGCUAUCCCCGGGGACAGAAUUUUUAUGACAGUUUGGCCAAUCUUGAGAUUGUUCUACAGCGUUGUCUUGAAGCUGAUUUGGUACUCAAUUGGGAGAAGUGUCAUUUCCUGGUUCAAGAGGGUAUUGUCCUCGGUCAUUUGGUUUCCUUGCGAGGAAUUGAGAUUGAUAAAGCCAAAGUUGAGGAUCGCUUGGUCCUGCCCCAUUUCCUUGAAUGAAGAAAUUGAGGUUCCAUACCAUCUCCUUCCCCACUCAAAAGGUAUGCGCCGCUACAACGGAUGUUCCCGACUCACACCGGAUAUGGACCGAACUAUCUCACGACGUUCUGAACCCAGCUCACGUACCGCAUUAAUGGGCGACUCAAAAUCUCGUGCUAAAGAGCGUGGAGGUUCGCCCCACUACUUACUUAAUGAAUCUCAUGGGCCUUGUCCUGGCUUCAAAGAAAGACCUUUCGAAAUGUCAAUUUACGUUUUCAAAACUACAGCUAUCUUGCCUAGAGUCCCCUCUGUCUUGCUAAACACAAAUCCUUCUUUUCUUGUAUAGACGAAAAAAAGAACAAAGUAGGUUUCGACCCAUUAAAGGAGUCAAUGGCCUUCCAACGGGCCAGGAAAUUGGUCACAAUCAUAAAAGACCUGAACCGGAGGUGCAUACAAUUGACAGGGUAGCUCGGAGGUCAGAUGAGUCCCCAUAAAGAUAGAUUAGUACUGGAAGGUUCAGAUGAAGGAAUGGGGUAGCGAGGGGUGCUAGGUCUUUCUUCGCAAGCGUUGCGGGCUUCUCUCUCUGGUCUCACUUCGAGUCAUUGGAAGCCUGCAGGGUCAAAUUUGGAGUAUUUUCAGUUAGAAUCUAGAGUCAGCCUAUUCAGUUCUUAGCCCUUAAGGGUAAGGCAGGGGGAGAACUUGUCGAUUGGUCAAGCGAUUCCAGAUUCUUCUUCAUUUGCAGUAGAGAAAUAGCUGCCCAAAGGGGAUCAUUGAGCCGGUUACCGGUGGCUAAGAGCCUUUCCUUUCCAUUUUAUCGACCUUUCCUUUGGAUUUAUUAUCAUAGGUAGUGUUCGAGAUCGCCUCUAUGCGGUGAACGCUCAUCCAAAUGUUGGUGUGUUGCUAUCGGAUCGAAAUAGAGGUCAGGGUUUGGCAAAAAUGCUGCCCUUCGAGAAGUCCCCCACCCUCUUUUUGUAAUCUCUGCAGCUUCCUAGAGGCUUUUUGCUUUUUAUUAUUGAAAAUAUAGCAGAUCUGAAGUCUUUUUUAUUAUUUUUUUUCUUCGUUUUUUACUCGUUUUUAGCACCUAUAACGGAGCCAUCAAUUGGUAGAGGUAGAAACUAUCAAUUUUUUUUUGAAAUCGUUCGGACCUCUGCUUAGUUUCAUCCAAGCUUCAUCCUAGUCAUGGCCACCUUGUAAAUAUGUGUUCGUAUCCGGGCAACAUCACAGACAGUGAAAAUCUUAGUCACUAGGCAAGAAUGGAAAGAGCUUCUUUACCUCAACAGAAAAGUAGCUUACCCAAAGCUAAUCCUCAGUUUCAACCAGUACAAAAGCAAAGCUUGUCCCAGCCUCAUUAGACUGAAAAGAAUUACCCCUGCCUCUGUUGGGUCCGGAACGGCAGCCCCUGCUGGAGUGAAACCUUCCACCAUUUUCGGAAAAAGAGGGGUCCCAAAUGAAAUUCUAGAGAAAUCCUUGUUAUUCGCGGAAAUAGGAUCGGAACAAGAAGGCUUCCAGGAAUUGGGAAUGACCGGAGGUGGGGUAACAGUCGACAAGGAGUAUGGGAUGACAACCGUGGACCUUAACAAUAGUGGGUUCAAAGACAAACCAUUCGUCCUUGCUGCAGACGUGAGUCUGGUGUUCUAUGUCAAAGAUAUGUCUACGAAACCAAAGAGAGGAAAAAAUGAUGACCACUCAAUCAUCAAUGAGCCAAAGCGCCACAUUGUCCUUUCUCGGAAAAGAAACAUUGUCGGAAUUGAGGACAAGUCAGACAUGUCAGGCGAUUACGAAAGGGAUGAUCGAAUUCCGCCCUUCAUAGUCAACAAAGACCCAAGCAUUCUGUUAAACAAUGAGGAUACUCCAUGGUUACGGCAGGAUCAUAACCAAGGGUCAUACGUCAAGAAGAAGUUCACUGUUGUGUCGGCUUAACAUAAAGUCAUGUUUAAUAGUAUGUGUUGUAAGAAACUUUGUAUGAAACUAUAUUUGAGAAUUGUGAAUUUUGAUGAGUGUAACAAACUUUGUAUUCAUGACUUUUCCAUUUGGGACCAUCUAGAGUUCGGUCAAAGAGUGUUUUUGUAAAAACCAUUGCUUUGACUUCGGUCAAACUUGGUCAAAUGACAAACUAAAUUACUUAAAAUGAAAAAAAUUUGAAUACCAAGUUGUUAGAUAUCAUCAAGAUCUAAACCUUUUAUAUACACAACUUUUCCAUUUGAGAAAGUUUAAGUUUACAAUACCCACCAAUUCUUGAAUCUCACACAAACUAUAUGAAACUAUAUGUGUCAAUUGUGGAUUUUCAACUACACCUUCCUAAAACUUUGUCAAAUGCAAAAAUGGUCUAUAUAUUAAAUGUACAUUUUGAUGAGUGGAACAAUAAUGGCAUUCAUGAUUUUUCCAUUCGAGGCCAUCUAGGGUUCCAAAACAGCUGCGUGGCUAUGAAUUCUCUGAAAAUUCAAAAUUGAGUGGUUCAAACUUUUCCAAAAGAAAAGUUGACCAUUAGACAAAAUGUAGAACUUGAUGAGUGUAACAAACUUUGUAUUCAUGACUUUUCCAUUUGGGACAAUCUAGGGUUCGGUCAAAGGGUGUUUUUGUAGAAACCAAUGCUUUGACUUUGGUCAAACUUGAUCAAAUGGCCCAUUUGAUGACUUCAAAUGAAAAAUUUUUGAAUACAAAGUUGUUAGAGAUCAUCAAGAUCUACAUUUUAUAUAUUGUCCAUUUUUCCAUUUGGAUAAUUUUUAGCCAAUCAUAAUCACAUUUCUAUAAAAUCCAAGACAGGAUUUGGUCAAACUUGGUCAAAUGACAAACUAAAUUACUUAAAAUGAAAAAAUUUUGAAUACCAAGUUGUUAGAUAUCAUCAAGAUCUAAACUUUUUAUAUACACAACUUUUCCAUUUGAGAAAGUUUAAGUUAACAAUACCCACCAAUUCUUGAAUCUCACACAAACUAUAUGAAACUAUAUGUGUCAAUUGUGGAUUUUCAACUACACCUUCCUAAAACUUUGUCAAAUGCAAAAAUGGUCUAUAUAUUAAAUGUAGAUUUUGAUGAGUGGAACAAUAUUGGUAUUCAUGACUUUUCCAUUCGAGACCAUCUAGGGUUCCAAAACCGCUGCGUGGCUAUGAAUUCUCUGAAAAUUCAAAAUACAGUGGUUCAAACUUUUCCAAAAGAAAAGUUGACCAUUAGACAAAAUGUAGAACUUGAUGAGUGUAACAAACUUUGUAUUCAUGACUUUUCCAUUUGGGACAAUCUAGGGUUCGGUCAAAGGGUGUGUUCAUCAAGAUAUAUAUUUUUAUAUGAUAAAUAGAUUUUUUAUUCGAUGAAAACAAUACCCUACUAGCAUUCCGAGUAAUAAAUAACAAAAGUAAAAAGUUUAACGUCAAUAUGAUGUGAAAAUAGAUUUCCAGUAGAUUGGAUAUAGUUUUUGUAAAUUUAUUGGAAUAAUAUAUUUUUGCAUGAACAAAAUACUAAACAUUUCUUACAAAAUCAUUGCAAAUUAUAAAAAUACAGUAAGAUAUUUAAGGUUAAAAUUUUUCAUGUGUACAUUAAAAAAAAUUACAAUAUAUGUCACUGUUUAAAAAAUAUUAUGCAAAAUAUUUAAUUUACUAUACAAUUUAUAAUAUAAACUGUAUGUAAACUUUAGCACCGGUUCCAGACAAGGACCGGUGCUAAAGGGUCUGCCCCUAUAUAAGCCACAGGCGCUCUGGAUCUGAGCAGUUGCCUUCGUCUUCGUCUUCGUCGAGCAGAGAGCUCCGCCGCCGCCGUCCAACGCCGCCCGUUCGUCUCCACAGCACCGCCGUUCGUCUCCAGCGCCGCCGCCGCCAUCUCCAGCGCCGUCGCCGCCAUCUUCAGCAGAGCCGGCCGCCACCGGCCAUCUCCUUCGACGAACUCUGGCCGCCACGAUCAUACGUAUAUUCAUCGAUCUAUAUAUAUGCAUGAAUGCCAACAGUUUAUAUAUAUAGACUAAAAUUGUAUAUAUGAAUUGUAUAUAUAUAUGAAUACCAACAGUUUCGAUGAAUAAUAUGUUAUAUAUAUAUAUUACAUAUAUAUAUAUAUAUAUAUUAUAUAAAUAUAUGUAUCAUAUAUAUAUAUAUCUUAUAUAUGUAUAUAUAUAUUAUAUAAUGUUUUGAAUUGUUUUAAAUGUAUAUAUAUAGUAGUAGUAUGUCAGUCUCUAAUAUAUAUUAAUGUUUGUACUAUUAUUCUUAUAUUAUUUUGUAGUAUUAUUUUUUAGUAUAUUAUUCUAGUGUAUUACUUGGCUUAAAAGAUUCAAGUGUAUACAUAUACUAUUAUUGUUUACUAUUAUUCUAGUAUUAUUUUUUAGUAUAUUAUUCUAGUAUAUUACUUGGCUUAAAAGAUUCUAGUGUAUACAUAUACAUAUAUUAUUGUUUGUACUAUUAUUCUAGUAUUGUUUUUAGUAUAUUAUUCUAGUGUAUUACUUGGCUUAAAAGAUUCUAGUAUUAUUUUUAGAGCACUCCAACACUUUCAUUUGUAGUAGUACUAGUAGUAGUAUAUAAGUCUCUAAUAUAUAUUCUAGUAGUGUUUAGCCACCAAAUUUAUUCUAGUAGGGUUUUUUAUAUAUUAUUGUUUGUACUAUAUUAUUCUAGUAUUUUUUAGUAUAUUAUUCUAGUAUAUUACUUGGCUUAAAAGAUUCUAGUAUUAUUUUUAGAGCACUCCAGUAGUACUAGUAGUAGUAUAUAAGUCUCUAAUAUAUAUUCUAUUGGUGUUUACCCACCAAAUUUAUUCUAGUAGUGUUUUGUAUAUGUUAUUGUUUGUACUAUUAUUCUAGUAUUAUUUUUAGUAUAUUAUGAAUUCUAGUGUUUUAGUAUAUUAUGAAUUCUAGUGUUAUUGUUAGUAUUAUUUUUUUAGUAUAUUAUUCUAGUGUGUUUCUUAUCUUAUAUAGAAUAUAUAUAUGUAUGGUUGCAGACAUAGAAAUGGCUGACCGUCCUCAUGAUGAUCCUGAUUAUAUGGAAGAUGCCAUUCAAAAUAUGAUCAACGACGGUAGUCAGUACUUUAUUGAUUACAACGAGAUCAUGCAAGGCAAUCCGAUUGAGCAACAAGAGGGAAAUGCCCCUGAGUAACAAGAGGGCAAUGCGCCUGAGCAACAACUUGUCGUGAAACAAGAAGAAAAUACUGGCGAGGUAUGUAAAUGUAAACAUAUAUAAUUAAUGCAUCUCUUACAUUAGGUUUUAGACUUACUUGGUUAUUAAUUUAGUAUUUUUGUUCUUAUAUCUACGUGUAGCCUUCUGGAUCGACCUCUACGGGGAGAAGCGUACCUCCACGAGGGCCAAAGAAGCCGUUGGAGGGCCGCUAUGUAAUCUCUGAGUUUGAGAUAGCUACAGGCAGACCACUUGGUGAACAUGUAAAUAAAUAUGUUAGUCACUGUGGAUAUCUUGUGAUAGAUCAAAUACCGAUUAGUGCUCGUUAAUGGAGAGAGAAGCGAGGUGCUCCUAAGAUCAGUUUUGUCUCUGAUCGUGACAAGGACUUAGUUUGGAAAGCCGUCACAGACGUUUUUACCUUCGACACCAACGAUGAAGAGUUGAAGGUGCGAAUUUAUGACUGGAGUAUGAAGAAGAUGGCGGUACUGUUCCAGAAUUGGAAGAAGACUUUGUACAAUAAAUUUGUCAAGAAAAACGAGACUCCAAAUUUCAACCUCAAGCAAUACGUAAAGCUGAGGGUCUUCUGGGAUGACUUCGUGCAGUACAAAACAUUAGAAGAGGGCGAGGAACGAGCCAUUAGAAACAAAGAGAAUGCAAGUAAAAAGACAUACCACCAUCAUAUGGGAUCAGGUGGUUAUAAGAAUGUUGUAUCCAAGUGGGACCUAAUGGAACAGGAGAUGCUUGCUAGGGGGGUCACACCCGAGACAAUAGCAAAGAAUUGGAGCGAGCGCUCCAAGCAUUGGUUCUACGGUCAUGGGGGAAGCUUGGAUCCAGACACCGGGGCGCUAUUUUGGGGCCAAGAAAUCUCUAGAGCAGCAGAGAGACUAGUCCGUGCACGAGAGGCGGUUCAGUCUGGUGAGUUCAGGCCUAACAGGGAGAAGGAUGAACUCACCUAUGCGCUUGAAAAUCUUGAGCACGGUGGGCGCACGAGAGGCUAUGGGGCAGUUCCGUGGCUGCAAUCAUUCCAAGCCAAUCAAGAUACCUACAGAAGCUACCAGAGAAAGAAGGAUGAGGAGGAAGAGCGGAUCCGCCGCCUGGAAGCUUUUGUUCUGCAGUCAGAAGAGCGUGAGAAAGCUCGUGAAGAAUGGAUGCAGGCGGAGAUUCAAAGGCAAGUGCAAGCAGCACUUAGUCAAAUGACGAAAGGGCAAGGUACAUCACAGCCUGAGGUCAACGUUAGCCCCCCAUGCCAGUUGAAAAGCAGCUGCGGAUCCACGGAAGUACCAACCGUUCAGGAUGACACGAAGCUACACUUCCCCGUGGAUGAUGUCACAGAGGCUUUUAGUACCUGUGAGCUGCAUGUACCAGAUGGGAAUGCAACAAAAAAGGUGGCUAUCGCUGUUGUCAACCCUAUCGACCGAACGAGAAAUCCAACAAUCCAUAAUCGACCAGUACCUAGUGGAUAUGCUAGCGUCUCGGUUGAUAGGGUUGAGAAAGGUUGUGGCAAUGUGCCUCUAGACAUAGAAGGGGAGACAGAGAGAAGACAUUAGGUGAAGCUGAGAAGACAUUUAUUUGUUGGCGCAAGCUCUUCAUAAUUAUUCCUCAACAUAGGUUUGUGUGUGAUUUUACUUCUUAUAUUAUUUAUUAUGUAUUGAAAUUAAAAAAGAGUUUGCUCACAAAACUUGUAAUUGUUUUCUUUGCAGGGACUCCUCCAACCUAAGUCCAGUUCUCUCCCCAGCGCAUCAUAGUGCUGCGGGCGGUGACAAUGCUGGAUCUCCUCCAACACCUGCGGCGGCCACACCGACCCCGCCACCGCCUCCACCACGGUCUCCACCUCCUCCACCGAGGUCUCCAACUCCUCCACCGCAUUCUCCAACACCGAAAAGAUCGGCCCCACCACCUCCACCGCCUGCACCGCCCUCUCCAAAGUGUACACGGUCGGUCCCCUCGCCUCCAAAGCGAGGUAGUCACAAGUGGUCCGCCCAAGAACGACCGAAGUCAUCGGUCCCACCUCCAAAGAAGGCUGCCUCAGCAAAGAGAGCUAAGACUCCAGAAAAAUUAUCUUAUGAAAAUAGUGAAGAGGAGGUAAUUGCUGCAUCCAAAGCUGAGGUGAAACAAUUUUUUGAUAAAUUGAAGGAGGAUAGAAAAAAGCGGCUAAACCCAGAAAAGCCGUACUUUUAUGUAAAGCCAUUGGAACUGAGGCAGAAGGUGGCGGACCAGCAAAAGAAGCAACCCGAAGCUCAGAAAAAGUCAGCACUUUCGGACUAUGAGCGGUCUCUGGUCAAGUCUUCACAGCCUAGAAAGAGGGUCCCACAGCUCGGAGAAGUAUCAAAACCGGUGCCCCCUUUGAUUGUGCCAAAUCAAUACGGCUCAAAUGAAGACUUCAUGCCAAAGAAAUCCUUAGCGUUGUCUGAGCUCGACUCGCUUGAGCGUUUCUUUCGACACACAAAUGUUUGCAAUAAACAAAUGGUGCAUUGAGGCGUCUAAAAGGGGAGAGAAUUGGAUUUCUGUUCGUAUUAGACAACAUCACUACUUCUGUGGAGAUGACCUCAUAUACGUGCAGUUCGAAGAAUUGCACCAACUAUGUCACCUCGACGCUCUCGACAAAUCUCUUGUCAGCUACUUUUGUCUGUAAGUAUUUUUUCUUUUUAUUAUACUUCUAACUUCUUUAAUUACAUGUAUAUAAUCCUUACACACUUAGAAUUUAUAUGUAUAUAUGCAGGCACCAAAUGAGAGAGCUCAGAAUCAGAAAUGACAAUAGUAUUGGGUUCGUUGACCCUUAUAUUGUUUUCAAGGCUCCGCAGGCAGUGUGGACAGCAGCUCAUGAGACAGAAGUAUGCACCAAUCUUAUGAGGUUCUUUGUGAACCAAAAAGGAAAAACAAAAAAUACUCUUCCCCUUCAACUUCGAGUGAGUUAUAUAGUUAUUAAGUGCAUGCAUAUUUUAUUUUAAUAAUUAUUACUCGAGACAAGUUUUAUAUAGUUAUAUAUAGGCCUGACUAUAUAUAUAUAUGUGUGUAAACAGCUUUCACUGAAUACUCAUGGUCAUUGAAAUUCCCAAGAACCGGUUGAUAAUCUUUGACUCAAUGAGAAAACCAAAAGAAAAUUAUCAACAAAUGGUAAACAUUAUUCAAAGGUACGUAAUAUCAAUCUCAGCUAGAACAAUAUGAUAAUAUGACUCUGUAAUUAUUAGUUCACGAUCCACAAUGGCUGUGUGUAGGGUUUGGGAAAGAUUCAUUGACCGUGAACAUCUCAGUGGAUGUAAAGCGCCGCUUAACAUCCACAAGUAAGUUCUACUAGCUAGCAAACUUUCGCUAACUUUUAGCCUUCUUAUUGUCAUGGUCGUGAAUAUUAUAUAUAUAUAUAUCGUACAGUGGUGUUUAAGACAAGAAGGGGGGAACAAUCUAUGUGCAUAUUACGUGUGCAAAUUCAUGAUGGCACAAGUCAAUCAAACACCCACAGAGACUGCUCAGAGUACGUUACAUGUCUCUUUUCAUUAUCUCCUGAAUUAUAUUGAAUAACUUAGAUAACUAAUACUUUUUUAUUUAUUUCAAAUUAAAGACGGAAUGGUUGAGGGAAAAGGUCAUACAAAAAGACUGAAUCAAAGCUAUCCAAGAGACGAUAGCAGGAUUUCUCCGCGAGCAAGUGAUCAAUCCAAACGGCGAGUUUCACUUCAACGGCAACGAAACUCUUAUUCCAAACAACGAUGAUCAUUUGUAUCGUUUUUAGACAUUGGGAUAAAAAACUCUAUGUAUAUAUGUGUUACGAAUUUUGUACUUAUAAAACUAUAUAUAUAUAUAAAGCUUUUUACAUAUCUAUUUAAUUUUUGAUGUGGCCUAUUCAUUUUAUUAUAGGCAAAGCUUAAUUAUAAAGCUAAGCCUAUAAUUUUCAUUUAUAUAUGCUUAAUAUGCGUGUAAUAUAAAUAUAUUAUUGUAUCAGCAAAAAUAUGUAUUAAAAAACCUAUUAUUAUUAUAUAUAAAAACAAUAAACAGAACCGAAGAUGUGAACCAAAAAAAAAGAAACCAUUAACACCGGUUGGUAAUACCAACCGGUGUUAAAGGCUCCUGCAACGUGGCAGCCCUGGCAGGA